GAACUAAAAGGUGAGUAAAACUUACCCGAAAAUUGUUUUAUCCAAAAAUCUUAGUUUCUCUUUUAACAAUUUGUACUCAUUAUCCAUUUUAGGUGAAUGACUUGGUGGUUACCUUCUCACAUUUAGUUAAGUGUUAUGCCUAUUAUUUUGAAUAUUCGACACAAGAUACCGAGUUUAAACAACAGCUCAUAAAUCUUCGCGACCAAGUUUCUGAGUUUGCAUAGUGUCACACUCGUCCCUCCUUGUCUCAUUACAUAUACACCAUCACACCCUUCCUCUGCUUCACUAAACUCAUUCAUCAACAAUCAUUUCAACUCUCUCUCUCUCUCUCUAGUUUCUCUCUCACAGUAACAUAUCAGCAGAAAUGGAAGAUCCCACAACCAGAUCAACCAUGAAAUUACCUCAAGCCACACAAACACUACUCCCACCAAGAAGAGGACUAGUGAAGAUCAGAGUAAUCAAGAGCCUUGUGAAAUCCGCCGCGGCGUUUGCUUCUUUAUCCGGUGAUGGUGGACGGAGAAACAGUCACGGUGACGGAACUGAAGACGGAGAUCAUUCCCCUUCAUCAACACCACCUACACCGGGUGGAUAUAAUUCCGAUCAUAAUAACUGAUCCAUGUUUCCUAUUAAGUCUCUGCAAGGGGUGUUUUUUUUUUUUUUUUUUGUUUCUAAUUUUCUAUGCUGGUUUUUAGUUUGAUUUUGAAUAGAAAAGGGAAAAAGAAAAAAAGAAAAAAGAAAAGGGGAAAUCAUUGAUGGUAAUAGUUAUUUAUUGUAUAGAGAUAUUUGCAGAGAUACUGAUUUGUAUAAUUGUAUAUGUAUGAGUAAUGCUUGUUGUUGUAGUAAUGUUAAAAUUUUGAUUUUGAAGUUUAUUCUUGCUUGAAUUUAAUUUUUCUGAGAUUAUGGUGGUUAAUUAAUUCAAUUGUCCGAAAUUGACUGCUGUUGUGGCUGCGGUUACCCUUUUUCUGUUUACCUAGCUAUGCUAGCAAAGAAGGAUUAAUAGGGACCCAGUUGUGUGAAUUUACUUUAGCCGAUGUUUAAAUUGACAUUAAGUUUGAUCAAGUAAUAAUUAUACUAUAGUUUAGUUGAAGAUUACGGUAAUUUUGUGAAACUCACCCUGAAUCCAAAACAUUUUUACAUUUACUGAAAUUGCUGGGAACACAAUCCCUUUGUUCUGAGUUUAGUUGUUGCUUUGUUUAUUUUGGCACAACAAUAGAGUGGAAUAUAAUGACAACUUAGUACUACACAUUAAUUAUCCAGCAAUAUCAUUGAUUUGAAAUACAUUCCACUAUGUUUCAUUCCAUUCUAUAUCUUUUUCUUUUCUUUUCAAAUUCAACCAAUAGAAUGAUAAUUUAUUCUCAUUCCUCCAUUCCAUACAUAUACUUAACUCUUUCGAUUAAGUUAGUGAGAAAAAAACCUCUUUAAUUAAUAAAAAAAAUAUCUUAACUCUUUGGCUCUUUCCAAAAUAAGCAUCCAAACUCCACCACUAUCUAUAGCUAUAGUCCUCCCACAAACCACAAAGUUACCUUAACAUUUUAGAAUAUAGAGUGAUAAUUGAUUAGUUUAUGCUAUGAAAUUUUGUUCUCAUAAAAAUUACUUUUUCAAAUUACACUUGUGUGCAAGCUACCUACCACAAAAACUUUACCUUAACAAAUGGUAAGCAUUUUAGCCAAUUCUAUGGUACAUGAGUGAGAUAAGUAUUAUACAAUAUACAAAUUUAUUUUAAACAUUAGAUCAAUAAUUAAGCUCUACCAUUAUAUCAAAUGAGAUAUACGAUGAUAUUUAUUGAUUUAAAGGUGGAUUUUUUUUUUGCAUAGUAUAACACUAUUUUACUAUGCACCAUACAGUUAGUUCAAAGUUCUAUCUAGGAAUAUAUAUGAAUACAGGGAAAAAUGGUGGAACAAAAAUAUGUAAUUCCGCAACAUUUUAUAUUGAAUUUAAUUAGUAUACUCUGUUAGUGUAUAAUUAUUUUACACAUGAUUUCAAUAAUGUAUUGUGACAUCGAUUGAUGAAUAUGAAAACUCGUGAAUUGUCAUAUUUACUAAUUGAUGUGGCAAAAUAUUAUCGGAUGUAUAUGUAAAAUAAUUAGAAAGAGUACACUAACUAAAACUCUUUUAUAUUAGCUUAGAAAAUUUCUUAUAAAAUAGACAGAUACAUAUUUUUAUUGAGACCCUUGUUGAGUACCAUUUUUAGGCUUUUCCACCUUGAUGAAAUUGUGGGGUAGACAUAUUUGAGAAACCUUUAGGGGAAAAAGAAGAAAGGCCCCCCAAUGUAUAACGUGCCUAUUGAAAGUGAGAGUACUCACAUGCUACACAUCAAAUAAUAUGGAUAUUUUCAACGUGAUGGAAUAUAGCAUUAUUUUUGCUUGUAAAAUUGUUCCAGAAAUUAUCUUCUGUGCCAAUUAGCAUUGAUUCCUGAUUGAAAUUUGCACCUGAGAAAGAUCAUAUUCGUGAAUGAUUGAUUAAAAGGCAGAGUAUACUAGUGCUGUUAAAACCUUUGAAUUGAAUCAAUAAUUGAAAAGAAUCAAUUGUGACUGUUUAAUUGGGAUAGAAAAUAGGAAUGAAAAUGACAAGCACUCGAAAAUCGGAUUCUUCGACCAAUUGAUUGUAGCUUUUUGUUGAUAUGAACAACCGGAAAUAUGUACUAUAAUAACUAGUUUUUUUUAUGGAUUAAAAAAAAUUAGAUUUUUUCUUCUUCCUAUAUUCCCUCCGCUCCUAUUUAAAAUAAGAGGGUAUUUCUUCGCUGUGUCCCAGUGGCGAAUCCAUACCCCCUAACCUAGUGGAUUCAAAGUUUUGAAAUUUUAGACUUUUUGAGUGAAUUUGUAAACAAAAAUUUAGGUUGAGUUUGAAUUGAGAGUUUGGGAGGAGAAGGGAAAGAAAAGUUUUUUCUUUUUUAAACUGUAGACUAUAUAACAUGUUUUCCUAAAAGAAAUUAAGUGAUUAAUAUGAUUGUUUAUUAUGUUAAUAUAUUAAUUUUUAAAAAAAUAUUUUAUGGUGUCUGUAAUUUAAAAAAUGAAAAGUAAACACUCUCCUCCCUUUUCCUCCUAAAGAGUCAGAUCCAUCUACCAAUCAAGAUUAUCAAAUAUUAUAUAUUUUCAGUUAAUUUAUUUAAAUAUCAAUAGCAACAUCGUUAUGAUUUUAGGAGUGGUUUUGGACCGUAACAUCUCUCACUUCAAAACUUGUUCAACCUAAAUUCCUAAUUAAUUAUGUGCAUAGAAGAAAUGUGUCUUUUCAAAUUUUGACGAAUAAUACAUUCAACCUAGGGCUAGGCAAGUAGGGGUUUCAGGUGAAGAUGUUUUAUCUUUUGAAUUUGUCUUUUUAGUUUUGUUUUGAUUGAUGUCAUUAGUAAGUUUUUGGACAUCACUUUAUUAUAGGUUGCAUGCUCCAUACAAGUAGGUUUUAGAAAGGUAGUAAAAAAUUUGGAAACAAGUUUGGUGUUCAUUUGCUCUUUAAAAUUUUAUUCUCUGAAGUUUUGAUUCGAAUCAAUAGUUUGCACUAAGCCAUUUGAUUCAAUUCAUUUUUCCUCUUAAAAAAUAACGACAUCAAAGACAUGGUCAAUUAUGGUAUAAUUCAUAUGCGCAAGAGCAUACAUUCCACGACCUCAGAUGGAGUCUCGGUUUUAGAAAGGUAGUAAAAAAUUUGGAAACAAGUUUGGUGUCCAUUUGGUCUUUAAAAAUUCCUUUUCUGAAGUUCUGAUUUGAAUCAAUAGUUCCGCACAUCUAAGUUUCAUUGGUGUGAUUAUUUGUUCGAAUUCACAACAUUCUCAUUCUUGACGCACUUUAAAUUGAGACAGAACUGUAUGAAACAAAAAAAUACAAUCAAUUAAAAAUAAACUAUAAAACACAUACAAUAAUAAAACAUAUACAAAAAUAAUAAUUUUAAAAUCUUACAUCUCCUUCUCAUAUGCGCAUGACAAUAUGGUGCGCAUACACGGCUGAAGACUGACAUGUCCUCUAGGCUACCAUAAUAAGAACCUUGAGCGUGUGCUAGCGCAUCUGACAUCUCAACAUCCUUCUCAUGUGGGGACUAUGGUGCCUUGGACUCAUGCUAGGGAACAUGCAUAGGGACAUGCUCGGGCUCAAGCUCUGCAACCUGAGACGAUCUAGAUUCAUCACACAUGACCUUACUCAUCCGCUCAUGCUUAAUUGACUGCUCUCGCUUAAACGAUGCAGUCAUGGUGAACUUGUUGCCUCUAACACGAUUAGAGGGCACCUUCAUAUUCUAAAGCAAUCAAAUCACAUAUACAAACCAAUAUAUUCAACAAAACUUUGAGACAAAUCAACAUUCAACACACCUAAGUCUAUUUUCAGAUAUAUAAUCCGAAAUCCUGAACAAUUUCUUUUAGAUUAUAUAAUUUGAAACGAACCAACGCCCAUGAAAAAGAAAAGAACAAAUACUUCAAAAAAAUGUAAAAUCAUCCUUUAAUUAACGGUGAAAAAAUUGUUGUAAUGUGAUGUAAUCCAAGGACUUCACUUCAAACUUAUACAAUUUUUGAAGGAUUGGAUUUUGGAUGGUUUGAAAAUAAUUUAGGACUAAUUUCAUAAUUGUAUUUAUAUGUGGACAUAGAUUCUUGACCGAGAAGAGAAUAUCCUCCAUUUUGCUUUUUUGAAAGUCAUCUAGCUAGCUUUGACAAAGAAUUGAUUUCACACAUAAAAAUCACAUGAUAAUAAGGGGUAUUUCCAUUUGAAUUCAAAGUUUGAAAUUGAAUUUGGUUAGAGUGGAGAGAGACACCUAACGCUAAAAAACCAAUCUUAUAAUUCCUCUUCAUUUUCCCCCUCUUUCUAAAACUUGAAAAAAAAGCUUCUUUACUCUUUUGUGUCUGAGAGAGAGAAAAAGAGAGUAACAGUAAGUAACAGAAUAAUCAUGGAAAACAAAAACCCUGAAUCUGAGAAAGCAAACUCCAAAGGAACUCUGAUUCACGAUGGAAAAUACAUUCAAUACAACGUCUUAGGCAACCUUUUCGAAGUCUACUCCAACUACAUUCCUCCUCUUCAACCCGUCGGCCGCGGCGCAUACGGCAUCGUUUGGUGAACUCACUCAUCUUUCACUUCAAUUUCUUCAUUUCUCAACUUUAAUUUUCAUUUUAAAUUAUUAAUUUUAUUCUUUAUAUUGUAGCUGUGCAACUAACUCAGAUACGAAUGAAGGUGUUGCGAUAAAGAAGAUUGGGGAUGCGUUUGAUAAUAGGAUUGAUGCUAAGAGAACACUGAGGGAAAUUAAACUUCUCUGUCACAUGGAUCAUGAUAAUGUAUGUUUAUUUAAUUCUGUUUGUGUAUUUUAUAUUUAAUUAAUUAAUUAAUCUGAUUUAGAGGUGAAUUUUUGCAGGUGAUUAAGAUUAAGGAUAUAAUUAAACCCGCCGAUAAGGAAAAGUUUAAUGAUGUGUAUAUUGUGUAUGAGUUGAUGGAUACUGAUCUGCAUCAGAUUAUUCAAUCAAAUCAGGCUCUCACUGAUGAGCACUGCCAGGUAAAUAGUUGCGCGUCAUUCAGAGUUAGCGUAAGUUUGAAUAAAUAGCUUAAUUAAGUGCUUAUUGAGUAAGCACUCGUGUAUAAACUAUGGACCUCUUUGGUUAAAUAUAAGCUAUUUCUCAUGAUAAGCGGCUAUUUCUAUAGCAAAACAUAAAAUAAAGUUCAAUUUUUUACGUAUAAGCUAUAAGCUUUUCUUCAUAAGCUAUCAUGGAGAACUUAUGACAAUAAGCAGAAAACAACUCAUGAUCAAUGUCAUAAACUGAUUUCAUAAGUUCCCCCAAACAGUCUCACUAAACUUACGUCAGUAGAUAAGCUCAGAUAAGUUAGUCAAAGAGAAUGGGCCUGUUUGGAUUGACUUAUUUGAGUUUAUCUACUAACAUAAGCACUCAUAACACUGGGAGAACUUAUGAAAAAAACUUAUGAUAUGUUCAUAAGCUAUUUUCAGCUUAUUUCCAUACGCUCUACUGGUUUGCUUAUGAAAAUAGUUUAUAGAUUAUCUGAAAACAGUUUGACCUUAUUUUAUCUUGUGUUACAGAAAAAGUUUAUUCAUAAGAGCUUAUUAUACUAUAAUCUGCAAAAUAAGUUGUUUAUCUAAACAGUGCCAAAACAUAUUAUCUUUUUUCUUUUUCUUUUUGUAUAUAACUUGUAAGGUGGUUUUACUAAUUAUUAGGGAGCUUACUGAUAUAGGCGGGAAACAGUUUAUAGGCAUGACAUAAGCUAUUUUAUAAGCUCUCUCAAACAUUCUUAUAACUUAUAAGUGUUUAUGCUAGUAGAUACAUGCAAAUAAGUUGUUGAUAAGUCAACCCAAACACAGAUGAAUAGUACUAACCGAGGGAAUUGUACAAGUAGGAAAGUAGACGUGUUUGAAUGAGUAAAAAUAUGAAAAAGUAGAUGUGUGUACAAGUGAUGGAAUUGUUUGUGUAUGCAUGAUGGUUGAUAGGGUGUGAAAUGUGAAUGUGAAGAAAAUAGUGAUUGAAUGAUGAGUGUGCGGGUGUGAAAUGUGAAUGUGAAGAAAAUAGUGAUUGAAUGAUGAGUUUGCUGAGUAAAGGAAAUAAGUGUUAUCAAUUGCGGACAGUGGACCAUGAUAGAAAGCCACAAGUCCGUCAUUUAAGCCUCCAUAUCCACCAUAAAACGUCAUGGUGCCGCCAUCCUCCACCAAUUGGUCAUGGAAGAUAUUUGACAACACUGGAGGAAAUGGAUGUAACAAAUGAGAGUUGGUGCGGGUCAAGACAUAAAAUUUGAUUGUGUGUGUCAAAGCAAAUAGCGAGAGUAAAUACUGAAUUGUAAAACAACAGUGAUAUGUGUUUGUGUGAGUGUGGGGGAAGGAAAAAAAGGAAAGACAAAUGAGGUUGCAGUGUAUAACAAGUCAAGUAAAAAGGAAGAAAAAUAUUUUGGUGGCUGCAGACUGGUCAAUGUGCAAGCAUGAACAAAAGAAAUAUGAAGUGGAGAAGGAUCUAUAUGAAUAUAGGUAAGUUUGCAUUUGUUCGGUAUGCGAAUGAGAAAGAGAGGGAAAUGAUACGAGAGUGCUGUAAUGAGAGAGGUUGGUUGAAGGGGGUAGUGGUAAAUCCUCAUAUUUUUUGAAGCGCAGCAGCAGGGAUAGUGAUGAGAUAUUUGUAGGUCAUAGAGCAUUAAGAGCUCUUACAAAACAUGUUUAUGAGUUUACACAAGAAUAACAGUUUUGGUUAUGGUUUCCUUGGGAAUAUCAUUCCUAGGAAUAUUUGUGAACUAGAGUCGUUGAGGUGAGAACACUCAAAAAGGGUAUACAGUAACACUUGUUGUAUAAAGAAAUAGACAUAUUGAGAACUUUUGAGUGUCAUUUUUUGGGUUGAAUGUUUUAGCAAGGCAAGCCAUUAGGAUUAGAUUAAUGGUAAGUGGUUUGGGUUGUUUGUAUGAAGACAUAGGUUUAAACCAAAAUGCCGUCAUUGUGCAUAGAAAGUAUCUGGUGUUGGAGUUUGGAAGUUUUUAUGUGAUUGUUAGAUAACCUUGUUUGAUGGAAUAGAAGAGCAUAAUAUAAUAACAGGCUUCUAAUUUGUAAAUGCAAAAAAAAAAAAAAAUGUUCCUCACAAUUCUGCGAUGACAGUGAAACUGUUACUGUGUAUCUAUUUAUAAUGCAAUCUAUUGUUGUCUGAGGACCUUGCGUAAUUUUUCAGUAUCAGAGACAUUGAUAUUUUCCCUAGAAGCUGAUAGUGAAUUAGUCUCUUGGUCUCAAAUAUAAGCAAAAAAGUCUUAUGUAUUUAGUUCAAAUUUGGACCAAAUACAUGGACUUCUUUUGCUUAUAUUUGAGACCGAAUAGACUAUUAGCUCAUUAUUUAUAAAUUUACCCAUCAUAUUUGACGUGAAGCAAGGGAGUUGAAAUUGAAUAAAGCUUAAGAAACGUAUUAAAUAUCAUUGCAGUAUUUUCUAUAUCAACUCUUGCGAGGAUUGAAGUACAUACACUCUGCAAAUGUUUUGCACCGAGAUCUAAAACCAAGCAAUUUACUUCUCAAUGCAAACUGUGAUCUGAAAAUAUGCGACUUUGGGCUUGCCAGAACAACCUCUGAGACAGACUUCAUGACAGAGUAUGUUGUGACUCGUUGGUAUAGAGCCCCUGAAUUGCUACUGAACUGUUCAGAAUAUACUGCUGCUAUUGAUGUAUGGUCGGUUGGUUGCAUUUUGAUGGAGAUAAUUAGAAGGGAGCCUCUGUUUCCUGGUAAAGAUUAUGUUCAGCAAUUGGCGCUCAUAACUGAGGUAUUUAUCCGCUCACUGUAUUAGUUGCUGUUAGUGUUAAUCAAAUUUGCAAAAAUGUUGUAUGAUAGGACCAUUUCUUUCUGAAAAUGUAUCAACAAAUUUCUCAUAAUUAUCUUCCAAAACAGUUGUUAGGUUCACCAAAUGAAGAAGAUCUCGGAUUCCUCAGAAGUGAUAAUGCAAAGAAAUAUGUUAAGCAGCUCCCGCACGUAGACAAGCAGCCCUUUGCAGAGAGGUUUCCUGAUAUGUCUCCACUGGCACUUGAUCUUGCUGAGAAAAUGCUGGUUUUUGAUCCCUCCAAACGCAUAACUGGUAUGUGUUCUGAUGUUAAAUAUCCCCUCUCUUUUUUUUCCCCUCGUUCAUUUCCUUUUAAGUUUUAAUUUUAUUCUAUGAUUGCGUAGUUGAGGAAGCACUGAAUCACCCAUAUAUGUCAAGUCUUCAUGAGAUCAACGAGGAGCCCGUUUGUCCAUCCCCGUUUGUCUUUGAUUUUGAACAGGCAACUCUGAAUGAAGAUGAUAUAAAGGAGCUCAUAUGGAGGGAGUCUCUGAACUUCUGCAAGGAGCAGAUUCUUGAAUAGACUAGGCACAAUGGUCGUUUUUCUUUUAUCCAGAGAUUCUAUGGAAUUUUAUAAUACAGGUUUCAAGUUUGGGCUAGAAAGUGGUAUUCUAGAAAACAUGUUAUAGAAGGUGUAUUAGAGGUAUGGAGUUGCAAGAAUGAGUGGUGCAUGUGAUGAUCAUGUAGUCUAUUCUCAGAGUGACCAAGAAGACAGAUUCUCUCAGUCCUGUUGUUAUGAGAGGGCAAUGUUUUCUCUUUUCCUUUGUAUCUUGGUGAUUGUUAUACAUAAACGAGGGGCUUAUGCCUCCAAGCCUUUGUCUUUGGCUUCAUAUUGUAUAAAUCCAAAUAUAGUUGUUAAGAUAAGCCACAAUAUAGUGGUUUUCGUUUUUGUGUGCUUAAUGCGGUUUCAUUCUUGUUGUUUGUCUCUCAAUGAUUCAAUUGAAUAGAUGUACUUCUAUUUUUUUUCCUGAUAAAAUCAACCCAAUACCACUGUCUUCAAAUUUGGAGGCAUUUUGGUGAUAUGUAGGGUCUUGUAACAAGUGCCCUUAGGGCACUAGUUAAGGUAACCAAAUUUAAUAGUUUUACAUUGGAAACAACAAUUUGUAAACUUUUUACAAUUUGACUUGACCACUUUUUAUCAUUUUCCAACAGAAAAUUUCUAUUUUUGUUCCCUUAUCCAAUGCCCCAAGGGCACUCUUUAACAUUUCCUUAUUUUCUAUACCUGAAGAUUUUUGGUAGGAGUUGGUACGAUUCCGCAACCAAUGUUUACAGUUCCUACUUCCUAGGACUGGCGCUUGGAUUGGGAAAUAGACCGUCUUGGAUGAUCCUAAAACUGUUCUAGCUUAUAAAUGUUAUGUAUACGGAUCAGAGAAAAACCUGCUGAACUAGUGUGAAACCAUGUGAAAAUAGUUAUUCACAGGGUUACAGUCGUAUAUGAAAAAUGUAUUUGUUCCUAUGUUCUUUGUCACUCCAUGAACUUCUGGCGAUCUCUAGCAGUGGCUGGUGGCUUCCAACAUUGAGUGUCUAUCACAUUGUGCGAUUCUUUGACAUCAGAGAGUCAUGCAUAUAAGGUGUUACUGCUGAUGAUGAGUGGGAAAGGGAGGUAAGUUUUGUUUAUUUGAUCAGUUAGAUUGAGUUUGCAGUCAACAAGACUCUAGCUUAUUCUCUCUCAAAAAAAAUAAAAAAGACUCUAGCUUAUUUUCCCUCAAGAGAUAGACUCAGAGUUAGCGUAAGUUUGAAUAAAUAGCUUAAUUAAGUGCUUAUUGAGUAAGCACUCGUGUAUAAACUAUGGACCUCUUUGGUUAAAUAUAAGCUAUUUCUCAUGAUAAGCGGCUAUUUCUAUAGCAAAACAUAAAAUAAAGUUCAAUUUUUUACGUAUAAGCUAUAAGCUUUUUUUCAUAAGCUAUCAUGGAGAACUUAUGACAAUAAGCAGAAAACAACUCAUGAUCAAUGUCAUAAACUGAUUUCAUAAGUUCCCCCAAACAGUCUCACUAAACUUACGUCAGUAGAUAAGCUCAGAUAAGUUAGUCAAAGAGAAUGGGCCUGUUUGGAUUGACUUAUUUGAGUUUAUCUACUAACAUAAGCACUCAUAACACUGGGAGAACUUAUGAAAAAAACUUAUGAUAUGUUCAUAAGCUAUUUUCAGUUUAUUUCCAUACACUCUACUGGUUUGCUUAUGAAAAUAGUUUAUAGAUUAUCUGAAAACAGUUUGACCUUAUUUUAUCUUGUGUUACAGAAAAAGUUUAUUCAUAAGAGCUUAUUAUACUAUAAUCUGCAAAAUAAGUUGUUUAUCUAAACAGGGCCAAAACAUAUUUAUCUUUUUUCUUUUUCUUUUUGUAUAUAACUUGUAAGGUGGUUUUACUAAUUAUUAGGGAGCUUACUGAUAUAGGCGGGAAACAGUUUAUAGGCAUGACAUAAGCUAUUUUAUAAGCUCUCUCAAACAUUCUUAUAACUUAUAAGUGUUUAUGCUAGUAGAUACAUGCAAAUAAGUUGUUGAUAAGUCAACCCAAACACAGAUGAAUAGUACUAACCGAGGGAAUUGUACAAGUAGGAAAGUAGACGUGUUUGAAUGAGUAAAAAUAUGAAAAAGUAGAUGUGUGUACAAGUGAUGGAAUUGUUUGUGUAUGCAUGAUGGUUGAUAGGGUGUGAAAUGUGAAUGUGAAGAAAAUAGUGAUUGAAUGAUGAGUGUGCGGGUGUGAAAUGUGAAUGUGAAGAAAAUAGUGAUUGAAUGAUGAGUUUGCUGAGUAAAGGAAAUAAGUGUUAUCAAUUGCGGACAGUGGACCAUGAUAGAAAGCCACAAGUCCGUCAUUUAAGCCUCCAUAUCCACCAUAAAACGUCAUGGUGCCGCCAUCCUCCACCAAUUGGUCAUGGAAGAUAUUUGACAACACUGGAGGAAAUGGAUGUAACAAAUGAGAGUUGGUGCGGGUCAAGACAUAAAAUUUGAUUGUGUGUGUCAAAGCAAAUAGCGAGAGUAAAUACUGAAUUGUAAAACAACAGUGAUAUGUGUUUGUGUGAGUGUGGGGGAAGGAAAAAAAGGAAAGACAAAUGAGGUUGCAGUGUAUAACAAGUCAAGUAAAAAGGAAGAAAAAUAUUUUGGUGGCUGCAGACUGGUCAAUGUGCAAGCAUGAACAAAAGAAAUAUGAAGUGGAGAAGGAUCUAUAUGAAUAUAGGUAAGUUUGCAUUUGUUCGGUAUGCGAAUGAGAAAGAGAGGGAAAUGAUACGAGAGUGCUGUAAUGAGAGAGGUUGGUUGAAGGGGGUAGUGGUAAAUCCUCAUAUUUUUUGAAGCGCAGCAGCAGGGAUAGUGAUGAGAUAUUUGUAGGUCAUAGAGCAUUAAGAGCUCUUACAAAACAUGUUUAUGAGUUUACACAAGAAUAACAGUUUUGGUUAUGGUUUCCUUGGGAAUAUCAUUCCUAGGAAUAUUUGUGAACUAGAGUCGUUGAGGUGAGAACACUCAAAAAGGGUAUACAGUAACACUUGUUGUAUAAAGAAAUAGACAUAUUGAGAACUUUUGAGUGUCAUUUUUUGGGUUGAAUGUUUUAGCAAGGCAAGCCAUUAGGAUUAGAUUAAUGGUAAGUGGUUUGGGUUGUUUGUAUGAAGACAUAGGUUUAAACCAAAAUGCCGUCAUUGUGCAUAGAAAGUAUCUGGUGUUGGAGUUUGGAAGUUUUUAUGUGAUUGUUAGAUAACCUUGUUUGAUGGAAUAGAAGAGCAUAAUAUAAUAACAGGCUUCUAAUUUGUAAAUGCAAAAAAAAAAAAAAUGUUCCUCACAAUUCUGCGAUGACAGUGAAACUGUUACUGUGUAUCUAUUUAUAAUGCAAUCUAUUGUUGUCUGAGGACCUUGCGUAAUUUUUCAGUAUCAGAGACAUUGAUAUUUUCCCUAGAAGCUGAUAGUGAAUUAGUCUCUUGGUCUCAAAUAUAAGGAAAAAAGUCUUAUGUAUUUAGUUCAAAUUUGGACCAAAUACAUGGACUUCUUUUGCUUAUAUUUGAGACCGAAUAGACUAUUAGCUCAUUAUUUAUAAAUUUACCCAUCAUAUUUGACGUGAAGCAAGGGAGUUGAAAUUGAAUAAAGCUUAAGAAACGUAUUAAAUAUCAUUGCAGUAUUUUCUAUAUCAACUCUUGCGAGGAUUGAAGUACAUACACUCUGCAAAUGUUUUGCACCGUGAUCUAAAACCAAGCAAUUUACUUCUCAAUGCAAACUGUGAUCUCAAAAUAUGCGACUUUGGGCUUGCCAGAACAACCUCUGAGACAGACUUCAUGACAGAGUAUGUUGUGACUCGUUGGUAUAGAGCCCCUGAAUUGCUACUGAACUGUUCAGAAUAUACUGCUGCUAUUGAUGUAUGGUCGGUUGGUUGCAUUUUGAUGGAGAUAAUUAGAAGGGAGCCUCUGUUUCCUGGUAAAGAUUAUGUUCAGCAAUUGGCGCUCAUAACUGAGGUAUUUAUCCGCUUACUGUAUUAGUUGCUGUUAGUGUUAAUCAAAUUUGCAAAAAUGUUGUAUGAUAGGACCAUUUCUUUCUGAAAUGUAUCAACAAAUUUCUCAUAAUUAUCUUCCAAAACAGUUGUUAGGUUCACCAAAUGAAGAAGAUCUCGGAUUCCUCAGAAGUGAUAAUGCAAAGAAAUUUACAUACUUAUUUUUUUGUUUCAAAAUAAUUUUUGCUUUAAAGUUUUUAUUCUUUUUAAAAUUGUCAUCCAAUAUAAAUCAGCAAAGCAUGGGUUCUUUUCUUUUAAUUUUAUUUUUAUUUUUUUGUAUUUGAUUUUUCCUCCUUUUUUACAAAUACAAUAGUGCAUAUUGAAGUUGUCAAUAAUCUUAGACAACAUAUAAGGUUUUGAAGGGCAGUAUGUGGCCUGCUUGGUCUGCAUGUUAACAUGGAAGCUUAGCAAAAAUGGUUGCUCAUGACAUGGUAAAGAAAUAUCAUGGUCCCUUCAAAAAAAGACAGGCGGAAAUGCGAUGUUAUACUCAACAAUGUUUAAAAGAAAUCCACCUAAUGUUCAAAGUGCAAAUAGGUUGCUUAAUUAUCUUGUCUGCACUAGCUUUAUCUGUGGUCAUGUACCAGUACAACCAGAAUCUCCUUGAGCAAAGUUGCUGCACAUAUGUGGUUCUGAACUUUGGUCACAUCUUUCAAACCACAGCAACAUGCUAUUCUAGUAAAGCAAAUAGACACGGGAUAUUCUAAAGGUAAUCGUAAAAAGAAGUUCAAAGACAAAUCAAUCUCAACCGUGAUCACCCUUUUAAUACAUGAAAUUAUAGAGAUAGGUAAUUAUAGUUCAGAGAGAGACAACUUUCAUAAAGAUAUAAUUGACAAAUAAUUUUGCCAUUUUCUAAACUUGAUGGAUUGAAUUUUCUUUUCUUUUCAAAAAAACUAUCUUAGUUACUUUUAAUUGUUUAGAAACCAAAUCGAUGAGAGAGUGACAUUUUAUAAAUUAAAUUGAUUGUCUAAUAUUUAUCAGAUAUUUUCACCAAACAAAAUCAGCCACCUUUUAAGUUUUAAUUUUAUUCUAUGAUUGCAUAGUUGAGGAAGCACUGAAUCAACCAUAUAUGUCAAGUCUUCAUGAGAUCAACGAGGAGCCUGUUUGUCCAUCCCCUUUCGUCUUUGAUUUUGAACAGGCAACUCUGAAUGAAGAUGAUAUAAAGGAGCUCAUAUGGAGGGAGUCUCUGAACUUUUGCAAGGAGCAGAUUCUUGAAUAGACUAGCAAAUAGCCACCAAGUGAAUCAUCUACACCCCAAAACAGUAUACAUGAAGUUUUAUACGAAGCUCUCUACAGCAAAUAGAAGAUUGGACAGUCUCCGUUAUGGUUCUCUCGAGUGUUGUAAAUGCUACGCUGCAAUGUUAUAACACCAAUAUUUGACGUAUAAUAGAGGAGAGAUUGUUUGAGUUGGAGGCUUCAGAGAAAGUCAUUCAAGAAGGCAUGUGUUUAAGGUUUGUUAGAUACACCACUAAAAUUUUCUACUAUGUUUCUAAAAUUAUGAUUAUUUGGAAGUGCUUUUGUUGGAAAUUGAAUAAAAAUUGUCUUGUAAGUUUCUGAUUUAGAUAGUAGAGAUGCAACAACCAUUAAUAACUUGUAUUUUUCACUCCUAAUGGAAGUGACAAUCCACUUCCAGAUUCUGGUGGUACUUUGCAGAUAAUAGAAAAUUCUACUGGGGUACAAAUCUUGAAAGAUCAACUUCAAAGCAUAGGACAAUACAACUAUUGAACAAUGGAAACCUUAUUGUAAGUGACAAAAACUACGGACAAGGAAGAGUGAAGAUUCUUUGGCAAAGCUUCUCUAAUCCCACAGAUAUAUAUCUUCCAAGCAUGAAAAUGGAAUGAAAGUUUAAUAUUAACUUCACGGAGAAGUUAUGAAGAGAACCUGAAGCAAGGAACUUUUCAUUUGAACAUGAUCAAGAAGAGAAUCAAUAUAUUAUACGAAAAAGAUCCAUUAGGUAUAGGAAAAGUGUUGUAUCAGCAAAAUUUGUUGGAACUGGUGAAAAUGCCCUCAGCAAUCUUACUUACUAGCUGUCAAAUUUCACCAUGAGAAUAUCCCCAAACAAAAUUGUUCCCUUUCGUCCUCUCAUCACUAUAUAGAAACACAAGGUUGGUUAUAAAUUACUGCUUCAACUUCACAAAGUUAACACCACUGACUUUUAUACUUGACUAUUAACACUUGCUUCCUAACUCAUGUGCAGCAAAGUAACAAAUUUGAAUCACGCUUCGACAUUAAAACAUGGCUUGGCUAUUUGAAGUUUCUAGACUAUAUGGACUUUUAGUUUCAACUAUAAAAUUGGUUAGCACAACUACUUGAAUUUUCUUAGCUAUUUGGAGUUUCUUUACAACUCUUAUUGAUGAUCUUGAUUGGACUUAACUUUCUUGAAACCGACUUGCUAAGGAUAAUAAUGGUACAUAUAUUAAGGAUAAUCUUUAAAAACAACAACAGUUCUAUUUACUAUGGGAAACAUCUAAAUACAUAGGUCAAUCAAUAUUUAACAAUGACAUGGAAAUCUUGCAACAAAUACUAGCACUUCAACAUUUGAAACCUUUCAAACAUACCAUUUUAAGGUGUAAAACUUUCAUAUCAGCUAGGAUAGAAAAAUUUAUGCGGAAAAAGUCUCAAAACUUUACUAUGCACAAAAAACUAACCUCAAACAGUCUAGAGGAAUGCAUGAUUGUGACCUAUAUAAAAUCAAAUUCAUGAUGAGAGAACAAAUGACCAUUGGUGAACUAUAUAAAAUCAAAUUCAUGAAGUAACCAAUAAUGAGAACAAUUACAAAAUAAAUAUCAUAAACAUAAAUUAACAUAUAGGUUCUGGUUAGAUCUCAUUUUUAUGACAUAGCACCUCAUCUACAUACUAGCACUAAGAACAAGGUGAUAUUAAACUCUCAACGCAAACUUCUGGGGAUAACAUGUUCAAGUAACCAAUAAGCUUUGAAGUACCGUCUCUACAAUUGUAAAUGAUAUAGCUGUAAUUCCCAUACUCUCCACAGUGAAGGAGCACAUGUUCAUCCUCAAAAAUAUGUAUUGCCUGGAUAAAGGAUGGCAUGUAAGAAAUAGUGAACAAUUUAGUCCAAGAUUCCUUAUUUCCAUAUUCCUUCAUUACCCAAACGUCGUCACCAGAAAACAAGAUCAAGCAAUCCCUGAGAACACUCAAGAGCAAAAUACGAGCAUCUACCUCUCCAUAAUUGGGCAACAAAAUCUCUUUGUAAGACUCAUUCCCCAAAUCAAGAGAAAUAAUAAAACAUUGACUUUUCUUAGAAGCCAACCAAUUAAUCGUGCCACUCACACAUUGCCCAGAUUGCUCAAUGGGUGAAGCAACAUAAGGGAACAUUGGAAUGCUUUUCCAUGAAUUGGUACCCAAAUUAUAAACCUUCACAUACGUCACAAUAUCCUUGUAACACAUACUAUUACUAAUACUACUACUAAAGUCAACUAGUUCACGGAAAACAACCACAACCUUGUAAUUAUCACUAACAGGGUCAUAUCCGAAGCAAUACAUCUUCGGAAUGUACCUAAAACGACGUGGCUCUCCAAGAGAGGGAAGCUCCUUGAGUUUUUUAAUGGAAGGGUUCCAUAAUCGAACAAUAAAAUUGGAGUAUUCGCUUUCUUUAGCAGCAAAACAAAGGAUGCCAUUGCACGAGCCAACAAAGUCAACAGACUGGCAAACAGAAAACUCGGGUCGUCUGAAGACGGUGGUUGUGACGUUGGUGAAGACAGAAUCCAGUGGGUAAGACUUGAGAAUGAAAUUUUGAGAGUAGCCGCUUACGCAGUGGAGGCUGUGCGUGGUUGACAGGCUAAGGUGCUUCUUAGCGAAUUUGCGAUCAGAGAUUAGAGAAUUCCAUGACUUGCAGGCGCAUUGGAGCUGAAGGAGGAGCUUCACCGGUAACCUACUAAGGAUUUCUUCAAUGAGAUCAAAAGGAAGAGUUGGCAGCGGCAGUGAUGAUGUUAGGGUUCCAACGGUGUUUCGCUCGUCGCCGCCCUCGCUACCUAGCGCCAUUUUACCUUGUAACCGUAACUAUCACAGACGGCGAUUGAUAAGAAAGAAGCAAAAGAGGGAGGGAGUUAUAUGCGUAUAUAUUGGGCACCUAAACAGCGUGGUUCUUUCGUCUAAUUUUUUUAGUAGUCAUAUUAGUCCUUGACUCCACGCCACGCUGUCACAAAGGUCCUGACUCAUAAUCUUCUUAUUCCUAAACAAAGCUUUGUCGCCCUAAUUUUAACCUAAUAUUUUAGCAACUUUUAUCUCUUUCAAAACCUAACCAUAUUUCCUAAUUUCCCUCCUCCAAACCUUAACCAUGAUUUCCUAACUUCACUCCUCCUAAAACCUAUCUAAUUGAUUUCCAUAAACCAUAUCUCCUAACUCCCCUCCUCCAAACUCUCACCAAUAUAUUUUAAUCCUUUAUCCUAAACCGAGAUCUCUUUUUAAAACCAUACCUUUCACUUAAACCGAAAUUUCUACCUAUCUAAUUGAUUUCGAUAAACCAUAUUUCCUAACUCCCCUCCUCCAAACCCUCACCAAUAUAUUUUAAUCCUUUCUCCUAAACCGAAAUCUCUUUUUAAAACCAUACAUUUCUCUUAAACGUUCUUAAACAAAGCUUUGUUGCCCUAAUUUUAACCUAAUAUUUUAGCAACUUUUCCCUCCUUCAAAACCUAACCAUAUUUCUUUUUAUUUAUAAACCUAACAUUGUUGCCCUAAUUCCAACUAAUAUUUAACCUAAAAAAUUAUAGCCACUUUUCCCUCCUUCAAAACCUAACCAUAUUUCCUAAUUCCCCUCCUCCAAACCCUAACCAUAAUUUCCUAAUUUCCCUCCUCCUAAAACCUAAUUCCCCCCUCCUUCAAAACCUAACCAUAUUUCCUAAUUCCCCUCCUCCAAACCCUAACCAUGAUUUCCUAAUUUCCCUCCUCCGUUAGCACGGGUCAAUGGUCUAGUUAAAGUAAAGAAGUCCCUGACUCUGUACUUCCGUUAUUAGUUUAGUCCUUGAUAAUAAACAGAUACUCUCACUAAGAUCCCCGGCAAGUUGUUAAUUUAACAAAAUGCUACUUACCAACAACAAUUAUAAUAUUUAUAUUCAAUAUAUUAGUUUAAAGACUUAAAUAUGUAAAAGGUCCCUAUAAGUUCGCGCAUUUUUUGUUUUCGUCCUUGUAAGUUUUUUUUUUCUAAAAUAAACCCUGUAUCUUCUUAACCUUUUGAAAAUGGUCCUUGCUGUUAGCUUCUGUCAACAAAAACGCCACUGUGGCUAACGGAGCACAGGUGGCAAGUCAUGAGUUGGCACAUUUGAUGAAAUGGCAUGAGAGAUGAUUAGUUGUGUAAAGACAGGGACUAAAAUAAAAAGCGUAAAUUACUACAGGGACUAAAAUAAAAAACGUAAAAUCAAAAUUUCAGAUUUAAAAUCAAGAUCUUAUUCUUCUUCUUCACCUUCAUCGCCAUAUUCUUAAAUCAUCAACAUCAAACCCAGGAAAAGAAAGAAAAAACAAACAUAUUUUUUUUAAACAAAACUAAUAAUCAUCAAUCAACAACAACAAAACUAAUAAUCAUCAAUCAAACAUAUUUUGUUGCAGAAGCAUUUACCUAUACAUAUCAUAACAUAAUCAUAAUCGUAUCAUAGCAUGGUUCAUAAUCAUUCAUUAUGUUAGAGGUUAGCGUGUAACAAACAGCAUUAUCUUGGUUCGUUUUACGGAUUAAUCCCGAGUGGAGUAACUCAUGAAAUUAAUCCCAUGACAUAUCCGGUGAAAUUCCUAUCUGAGGCUGACAUCGAAACUCCUCUUAAUGUCGUGCGAGCCUACCUUGCGGAGCGUGUCCCGUCCCCCUAACUUGAACCUCUUGUAUCCCCCUGACGUGGAUAACAAGAGACACGACGCUUUCAUAUUAAUUACAUAGUCUUGUUCAUACAUGAAGGGUUUAACCUAAACUUACUUGAACGAUUACCAUAGGUCCGUGACCUACCCGAAUAAUGGUAAAGUACAUACAUGCUUGUUAUAGUUCAUGAUCAUAAUACGCCUUGAAGCGUGGUAGCAUACCUGAUCUCGACUGCCUAAGCCGAGGUUCUAUGGUUCCCAUACUUAGGGUUAUUCGCUACCCGGACAUAGUUCAUACUUUUGCUCUCAUAUGUUGGAACAAAAUAUGUUUUACCCUUUGAGAGUUUUGAUAAUAACAAGAUAUUAAAAUUGACAAUUGGAUAUGCUAAUAUUUGUUCAAGUGUAUAGGACCAUAGACAAAAUUUGACAUCUUAAAGAGGUCUUGGAAGAACAAUAGAGAGCAAAGGAAUCAACAAAAUUGAAUCUUAAAGCGUCUGAAGAAAACUUCUCCUAAAGACAAAGUGCUCCUGAAGUAGUGACGUCAUCAGAAGCAAAAAAUCCCCAGAAGCUGCAGUUCAUUAGGAGAUGCAACAUAAAGCUUCAAAGGCUGUUCAAUGGAUUUAAUCUCGUCUAAGCAUUGCAGAAGACUAGAAAAGUGAAGCAACGACUAGUUUGAAAGGAUUUGAAGGCAUUUGAUGCUUGUUCUUCAAAGAGCGUUGACAAAGUACAAUUGUACAAAGUGUACAACCACUACCUCCACUACUCAGUUUUUUGUCUCUGCUACAAGACAAGAAAAAUAGCUCUGCCUACAACAAUGUUCCUUCACAAUGGGAAUGCAUUUGAAAUUGAUCCUUCAUAGGACAAUAACCAUAUCAGGCAAAAGAUCAUUGAUGAUUGAUCAAAGCUUCAAACGACUCUAUUUUGAUGUGCUGGCAAUUCACAACGUCUCUUUCACACCUCUAUAUAAAGGAGUGAAGACUUAGAGUUUUGUGUAGAACAAUACCAAGAAUUACAAGUGCCAAAACUCUGCUGAAAUUGUUCUGCACUCAAAUGUUCACUUAGAAUUUCUUAUCAAAUUUAAUACCUUAGAAAUUCUAGAGUCUUAAGAGUCUGUAUCUGAUUUGUAUUGUGAACACCACUGAUUGUAUAUCAAAUGUUCAACCUCAAACAUUUUUUCUUGUAAUUCUGUUUGAAUUAAGAAGUCUCUUGCAGUUGUGAUUGAGCAUUAGAAGUCUCUUGAUUGUGUUCAGGAACAUAGGAAGUCUCUUACAGUUGUGCUUGAGCAAUUUGAAGUCUCUUGCUAGUUUUAGCAGUGAACAAUUGUAAUCAGAUAUUACAUAGUGAACUCUCCUUGGAAGUGCAAGGGGGACAGGAUUGACUUCCGGUUUGUGGAAGGAACCUGUAUAAUUGCUUUGUGUCUUUCUUUUCUCUCUCUCUCUCUCUCUCUCUCUCUCUCUCUCUCUCUCUCUCUCUCUGUUUUAUCCGCUGCAUCUAGUCCUGAACAUCACUUCAAAAGUAGAACUCUAUCUGCUUCUGAUCAGUGUUUUCAGCUUAGGAGAAAAAGAAGAAAAAGCCAACACAAUUCACCCCCCUUCUUGUGUUUUUCUCACCUUCAAUAUGCUAUUUCCUUGAUGAAUUUGCCAAUGAUUGCCUAUACAUCUCCUUUGAAAAUCAUUGAAUGCAAGGUACAAUAAGCACUUGAUGUUCGAGGGGUUUUAACAUUUGAAAAGACUGCAAAAAGAUGCCUCGGAUGACACCACAUGACCUUUGAAACAAGCAAGAACUUCCAAGAGGCUGUCAAACUCGCCAAUGGCGAGUUUCCUAUGGAGAUUUUUGGGUAUUUGCGAAAUAUUUUGCUAUUAGCUAGUUUCUUUAGGACAUGCAUUUCAAAAUUCGUAUUUUUGAUCUAAAACCCUCAAAAUCAAGUUCUUGGCAUCCACAAUGCACCUAGAAUACAUGAAAAACAAUAUAUGUUCAUUGCAUGUCAACCAUUAACACAAUUUCAUCAAGAAACAAUGGCAAGAGUACUAAUUUCUCUAACUCAUAUAAUAACAUAAUUCAUAGUUUCUCACAACCAAUGGUAGGAAAACUAACUAUAUAACUCACCUCAAAUUCUGAAAUCAAUCAAGCUCUCCCACUUCUAAUCCAAACCCUAGGCGAUGCAAAGCUCUUAAUCAACGAAUCCAAGCUUGAAGGUUAGGUUCCUCUUGAUGCAAACUUCAUAUCUAAUCCAAUACUAAACCAUGCUCAUCCAAGAAUUUGCAUUUAAGGAGGAUUUGCUUGCAUUUGAGAAGGAAAGGGGCGAUGUUCUAGAGAGGGAAUGGAGAGAAUUGCUGAACUUCUAACUUAGAGAGAGAAUUGCACAUGAAGAAUGAAUGUCUUGGAACAAAACUUACUUAUAUUGGGUUCACAUGAAAGUACCAAAAUACCAUUCCAUCUUAAACACACCUAACUUGAUAUUGAUAACUGAACCUGCGUGUAACUACCGACAUUGCAUCAUUAAACAUUCAUGGUCAUAAAUGAAUCCGAUGAACAUUUGUCCUCUGGUACGUUUGAUUGAUGAAAUUCCAAUACUGACGAGUGGGAUGUAACAUUUGAUCAUCAUAUUAGAUUAAGCGAAUAAACACAAGUGAUUUUGACACCACAUUUAGAAGUCUAAAGAAGAAACUUUUUAUUGGAACUUGUGUUUUCACUACAUUGAAAAUUAAAAAUGAAACCCUUUUUACAUUAAAUUCGUAAAUUAUUUCCUCUUUUGAAUCAUUAAUCAUUGCCCUUAGGGCACUCGUUAGCAAGACCCAGAAAUUAAGGCAUUAGAUAUAUGGAUGAUGAAAACGAACAAAAAAAAAACUGGUAUGAAAAUGAACAAUAUGAACAUUACAAAUGGUAUGGAAGCGAAUGACUUCCAAUGACCAAAAUUCAAGAUAAAAUAUCAAACAAAUUACAUCCAAAAUUUAAAAAAACAAUUUAUCAUAUUUUUCGGGCUUCCAUGGGAGCCUAAAUUAGGUUGGAUAGUCAUAUUAGGCCAAUAGUAACCACACAAGUGAGAUUGACACCAAAUAUUCACGCAAAGUCUGAAGGCACUAGGUAUAUGAGAUAUCACACUUAUAUGCUAUUCAAAAUAUACUCUUGCAUCCACUAUGUAGAACGUUAACUCAUACUUGACACGUUAAAAUAAUUUAAUUAAGUAUGCGACUUUCUGCAUCCCUAAUUAUGUGACAUGAUCAUAUAAAGUCAAAUAGAGACAAAACAUGUUUAAAAAUGUGAGUUGAUGGUGAUUUUAUAGAGGGAGAUUUAUGUACAUUUAUUUCAUGAGAAUAGAGAAUGGAAAUUAGAAGAAACAUAAUGAAUACAAAAAAGAAAUUUGAACAUGAGAGAAAUGAUAAAGAAAAAAAAUGUAGUGUGUACUUUUUCUAUGAGUAUAGGAAAUAGAGUUACUACCUCCGUUCAUUUUUAAUUGUCACAUUUUGACAUUUUAUAUAAACCAAGAUAAUCAACAAUUGAUACUACUAUUGAUGCAAUAAGCUAUACUUUUACUAUAAUGACCUUAUUCAUUUAAUAUCUCAUUUCAUAUAUUUAUCUCUCCGCAAUAAAUUACUAAGGAUAAUAUUGGUAAAACAACAUUUAAUAUUGCAUUGAACUUUGAAAGCGACAGUUAAAUAAGAACAAUUUUUUCUUUCCAAAAGUGACACUUAAAAAGGAACUGAGGGAGUAGUUGUUAGUAAUUUUAUGGGUUUGUUGAAGUAGUAAGAGAUUUCUUGGUAACUAUUUUACCAAAAAAUUAUACUUAAUUAAAAAAUGUCACAUCAUUUUAAAAUGUUGACUAAAUAUGUAUUUUGUCAACUUAGUAGUAUAACACGUCAACAUUUUUUUCAUUGUCACAUGCCACCAAAGACCAAAAUUAAAGGAAUUUAAAAUAAUAGAGGUUGAAUAAAAAAUAACAUUAAAGAGACAUCCAAAAACUAAAUUUUUAGAUAAAAAAAAAAACCAAACAAAUGGCAUCCAAACAUUACUAAAAUAGUUCAUCAUAAUGUUAAGACUUAGACUACAAAGGGAGACUACAUAUGGAGCAUACACUAGGUUGGAUCAUCAUAUUCGGUUAAAGACAAUCAGACAAGUGAGAUUGACACCAUAUCUUAACAUAAAAUGUCAAUUCAGCAUAAAACAUCUGAAGUUUUCUAUUUUCAGAUCCCGCCAAAGAUCAAAUUUUUUUUUUUUUGAAUAAUAGAGGUUGAAUAAAAAAAUAGCACAUCCAAGAAAUAAAAUUUAUGUUCAAAAUUGACACCACUCUAAUUCACCAAAAAAUAUCAAGGCAUUAUGUAUAUGAGUCUUCUCUUUUAUAUUUUUCUCACCAUCUAAUCUUGCAUGCAAUAUAAAAUAUAAACUCACAUAUGACACACUAGCAUAUCUCUCUCAAGUGUGGGAUUCUCCACAUUUGUGAUUGGUAACAUAGACAAGUAAUAUCAGAUUAUAUCACUACAUGGUAAAACAUGUGGGUUGAUGAUGGUUUCAUGGAUGACUCUUUAUGUUUCUUUCUUACAAGAAAGGAGAGAAAACAAAUUAUAAAUAGAAAGAAGAUGAAAAAAGAAUUCUAAGAAGAAAGAAAUGAUAAGAAAAAAAAAAAAGGAUUGUGUGCUCUAUCUACGGGAAUAUAAAAAAUAGAGUGCGUUGCUGAUAAUUUUACAGUUUUGUUGAUGGAGUUAGAGAUUUUGAAGUAAUUAUUUUACCAAAAAAAAUUAGACUCAAUAAAAACACGCUGCAUCUUUUAAUUUUUUGGCUUAAAUGCUCUUUUGGUCCCUUAACUAUUUAAUUGGUAUCGCUUUAGUCCCUUAACUAAAAAAAAGAUUGUUUGAGUACUUUAAGUUUUUUUUAGUCUCGUUUUGGUCCCUUCUAUUAGGUUUCCGUUAGGGUUUAAAAAAAAAAGUUAAUUCCUGGACACGAGUCAUCUUGUCAUUGACUCUGAGUUUUUUUAAAAAAAAAAAUCGCUCCUAGAGUUAACAAGUGUCACAUUGUCAUUGGUUAUGAGAAUUUUUUACAAAAAAAUAAAAUAUAUAUUAAUUUUUUUUUAUAUCUUUUUAUAAAAAAAAAUUUAUAUUUUUUUUGUAAAAAAAAAAUUCUCAGAGCCAAUGACAAGGUGACACGUGUCCACACUUAACGUUUUUUUAUUAAACUUAACGAAAACCUAACAGAAGGGACCAAAACGAGACAAAAAACACUUAAAGUACUCAAACAAUCUUUUUUUUAGUUAAGGGACCAAAGGGAUACCAAUUAACUACUUAAGGGACCAAAAUAACAUUUAAGCCUAAUUUUUUAAUAAGCAUGCAUUUUGUCAACUCAACAUAACACAUCAACAUUAUUCUAUUGUUACAUUCUACCAAAGAACCAAAAAUGAAGGAAUUUAAAAUAAUUGAGGUUAAAUAAAAAAAAUAGCAUGAAAACGAAUGAAAUCCAAUAACUAAAAUUUAAUAUAAAAAAAUAAUCAAAUGACACUAAAAAACUAACAAAAUGAUCAUCAUAAUUUUGGGACUUGCGGGGAUUUUACACCGAGCUUGAUCACCAUAUUAUAGUAGAAACCACACAAGUGAGGUUGAUAUCACAUCUUUACACAAAAUCUUAUGACAUCAUGUAUAUGGGUCAUCUUAUAUGGUGUUCAAAAUCCACUUUUCCAUCCUAUAUAGAACUUUAACUCACACUACACAUUAACAUCUUUUAAUCAAGUCUAUGACUCUCCAUCCAUGUAUGUAAUUAUAUGACGAAGCACAUGUUCAAAAAGGUUGGUUGAUGUGGUUUCAUGGAGGGAGAUUUAUGUUCAUUUCUUCCAUGAAAUGAGAUAAAGAAAUUUAGAAGAAAAGAGGAGUAUGAAAAAGGAAUAUUAACAUUAAAGAAGAUAAAUGAAAAAAAUAAUUAUUGUGUGUUAUAUCCGUGGGAGUAGAUAGAAUAAUGUGAAUUAUCCGUAAUUUUAUGGGUUUGUUGUAUGAGUUAGAGAUUUUUGAGUGACUAUUUUACAAAAAAUUAUACUCAUUUAAAAAAACAAUACAUAAUUGUAAAUGUCUAAUAAACAUGUAUUUUGUCAACUCAACAUAACAUUUAUGCAAUUUUUCAUUGUCACAUGCACUAAAGACGAAAAAAAAAAAAUUGAAAUAAUAAAGUUUGAAUGAGAAAAUUUGCAAAAAAGAGAAUGUCAUUAAGAUAAAAAUCAAACAAAUAACAUCCAAAAAUUAAAAAACAGUUCAUCAUAAUAUUGCGACUUCUGGUGGAUUCUACAUUGAAUUUGAUCGUCACAUUAGACUAACAGAUACCACAAAAGUGAGAUUGACACCACAUCUCCACCCUAAACCUUAAGACAUUAGGUAUAUGAGUCAUAUCACUUAUUUAUUGUUCAACGGUUACUCUUGCAGCCAAGACGAAACUUACCUCACACUUGACACAUUAACAUUUAUUCCUUAAGUACGAGACUCUCUGCAUCUGUGGUCUACCAUCAUGAACCAAUGCCACUUCCUCACAAAGUUGAAUCGGGUUAUUAUAUCAUCAUUAGACCUUCUAAGAGAAUCAACAUUGAUGUGGGUCGACUCAUUGAACAAAGAGCAACCACAUAAGGUAAGAGUUUGCUCAACUUCCAUUGUUUUAUUCAAUGUUAGACCGUAACCGACACUUGAGAUAGUUUAACUAUCUUUUAGCUUUUUUUUGAAAGAAACUAUCUUUUAGUUAUAUUUAAUUAGCUUAAUUGCACUUUCCCCCCUAUCUUUUGUCAAUUGUGCGAUUUUGCACCCCCUCUGUUUUUUAAUUUUUUAGUGAUUUUGCACCCCAUCUUUUUGCCCCUUUCUAAUUUUGCACCCCAUCUUUGUGUUCAAUUGCACUUUUGUCCCUUAUCUUUUUGCUAAUUGUGCGAUUUUGCACAUUCACUUAUAUUUUUUGAGCGAUUUUACACCCCAUCUUUUGCCCCUUUUCCCCUCUUUUAAUGAUGAUUUUGAACAAAACAUAGUUGACAAAAGAUAUGGUGCAAAAUUGCUCAAAAAAAUAAAUGGUGCAAAAUUGCACAAUUAACAAAAGAUAGGAGGGAAAAGUGCAAUUAAGCCUAUUUAAUUUUUAGAAACCAAAUCCGCGAGAGAAUGAUAUUUUAUAAGGGUUUUUCUAACCUGUGCAAGAUUGCACAGGAUAAGAAGUGAUUAAUGCACCAUAUUUUAUAGGUUUCUCCAAAUCCUAUUAAUGAGCCAAUUUAUUAGCUUCUUAUUUGUUUUUUUUUUUUGACAAAAUUUAUUAGCCUUUCCUUAAAACUCGUUCUCUUCCACGCUCACCGCACCAAUAAGUAAGAACAAAAAACUGUUCUCUCUCUCUCUCUCUCAUAUUUGUUUUCUUCUAAAAGCUCUCUCUCUAAUAUUCAUUCCAAUGCAGGUAAUAACCAAAUCGGAAUCAAGGUAUAACAUGAAUUAUAUCUUUUGUAAUAAUUUCUUCUGGUUCUUCUUUUGCUUUGAAUUUGGCUAAUUCUUCUCACAGUGUUCAAAUUGACGGGAGAACCAAAAUUGGGCUCAAGUACACUAUAUUCCAAACCUCUCAAACUGCACUAACCCGUAUAACUGCAAAGCUUCUUUUUUGAAGGAACUGCAAAGCUUUUAAAAGCAAACUGUAAUAUUUCAAACGAAUGAAAGCAAACUGCAAAGCUUUUGUGACGUGAGAAGAAACUGUAAUAUUUCAAGCUUAUAAAAGCAAUCUGUAAUCUCUUAAAAAAAAACUGUAAUAUUUCAAACUUGAAGAGUGACGUGAGAAGAGAAUAAAAUGUUUUAAUGUCUUUGUAGAAUGUGUCUUUUAAGGGAAGAAGAAGAAAAUGUAUUAGAGAAGAGAAGAAGGAAAAAAAACAAUUUUCAAGGAAAAGACUCGUUAAUAAGGUUUGGAAAACCCAUAAAAUAUGAUGCAUUAAUUACUUCUUAUCCUGUGCAAUCUUGCACAGGUUAGAAAAACCCAUUUUAUAAAUUAAAUUAAUUGUUCAAUCUUUACCUGAUAUUCUCACACCAAACAAAAUCACUAAUCACUUCUUUCAAAUUUUGACCGUGAUUUGUGUGGGGUAAAAUCAACUAAGGUUUAAAUAGCCUAUGAUAGAGUUGAGUAUGAUGGGUGGGUGGGAUCCAGAUCGUAUCAGAUUCGAGUUGCUUCAUUCUACAUCCAACCUUGAAGAUUUUGAUAUUCUCUAUAUAUCCGACUCAUCACGUUCAAACCCUCUCGCUUCGCCACGUCAGAUCCAACAUGGAAUUCAAAACCAUUCACACCUCCAUUUUGUCCACGUCACCUUCUUCCAAAUAAUAUCUUCUCCCACUAUCUCUCUCUUAGCUAUAAUUCUCUACCAGUCAAGCUUUUUUCCUUUUUUUUUUUUUCUCUCUCUUAUUCGGAUUAAGAAGAAAAAAAAGAAAGAAGAAUAUAAGAAAUGUUAGAAUCUUGCUUACUGAAUCAAUCAAUUAUUACUAAUUUUAUUUAUUUCAUUAAGACUUAAUACUGUUUUGUUUUCUUCUAAUUAUUUUGGAUUUAGAGCUUUGACUAUUUUUUCUUGUUUUUUUUUUUUUUUUUUGGAUUAUUUUUUCUAAGUUAUUGCAUGGAGCUUGUGAAUGAAGUUGAAGCUCUGAAGAUCUGUUUCAUCAUCCUCUGAGUAUGAUGAUUUUUUAUUUUUUAUUUUUUCGAGUUCAGAUAAAUAGAAUCUUCAUUGCUAUAUUUGUUUUUAGAUAUUAUUAUUUGUUUUUGUGUCUUAUUUUGGUUUCAUUCCCAUUAAUUUAGUCUUAAACUAUCACUCUCCAAUUUAAUCUCAUAAGUUCAUAUCAAAUAUAUGAAAUCCAUCAAUUUAAUCUCUUAUAUGAGCAAAUUUGUUAAUUUAGUCUCUCACAUCACAUAUCUUCAUAGCAGAGACACUGAAAUGAUGGAUUUUAUCCACUUUAUUGACUAUUGAUUCCUGGUUUGCCGUGACCAGAAUUGAUUUUGACAUGUUGGUUUGUUUUUGAGUAAAAUUGAUUUUGCCUCCAGAAUUAAUUAUAACUUGAAGCUAUGAUCUGUAGCUUUUGAGUCUAAACGUGAUUUUUACAUUGAAAUUUAUUGUUCAACUCGCUUUUACAUAAAUGUGUCCAAACAUAAACCAUUUUACUUUCAACUCACUUUUAAGUAAAAUCAAUUCAUCUAAAAUCUAUUUUUGUCACUGCAGAACCAAAUGUACACUAAAUUGGAGAAAGUGUGAUGCUUUAAGACUAAAUUGAUGUUUUAUAUAUAAUUCUCUAUUGAAGAGUCUUCCAUUUCACCUGUCAUUUUAGUGCAUCUGGUGUUAUGUAAGGUGGAUAAAAAUUGCUGAAAUGAAAAUAAUAGAUAAAUGAAGAUGAUGAUGUUUUAGAAUACAUUCAUUUAUCAUGAUAUUCUUAUGAAAUGGAAAGUAUUACUUUAUGUGUUGUGCUAAGACAGAAGAUUUGAGGGUUAUCUGAUGCCGCAACAGCUUGUCGUUUCAUUUCAUUAAAUUUAGUAUGAUUUUUUAUUGAGCUUUUCAUUUCUAUCCGGGUGCUGGAAUUCAGAGGUAUGGAUCUGGACUUAUCUAAACUUUUUGGAGAGACAAAUAUGUUUUUAUUCCAUAUGUCUGUUUGGAUUGAAUUAUUUGAGCUUAUUGUCUGAAAAUAUUUGAGAGGUUCUAGAAAUAGCUUAUGAUAUGUCCAUAAGCUGUUUUCAGCUUAUUUCUUUAAGCUCUUCAAGAUAUAGCUUAUGAGAACAGCUUAUAUGAAAACAAUUUGACUUUAUUUUACCGUUUGUUAUAGAAAUAGCUUAUACAGAAGCAUUUAUAUGAUAAGCGCAUAUGGUAUAAGCAAUUAAUUAAGUUGUUUAUCCAACUAGACAAUCUGUUAACAAUUACUAUAACUUCUGUAAACAAGUACUUGUUUUGCUCCCCAUGAUAAGUGUGGGGGUGUGAGUGCAUAAGUUUGUUUCGAUCUCUUGGGUGGAGUAACCACCAGGUAUCGGUCUUUCCUCUUUUAGAAUCACGACAAAGGAAAAAGUAUCUAGUUGACUGAUAGAUAGGGUUGUGUUUGCAGAACUUGAUGGGUGAAGUGCUCAUGAUACGGAGAAUCCACAAUUCACUCAACAAGGGGAUUGGGUUUGUGCAUUCCUGAUAACUCCUCACCUAGUUGUUUUUUGAGUGUGGUUGAUAAUAAUUUAGGCUGAUACAAUGAACAAUAAUGUUGGGAAAAAAAGUUUGGCAGAACAAAAUCACGCGCUUAAUGACAGAAAGAGUCUCAAUAAUAGAGUAGUUAAUGAAGGGCCAGGGUCUGAAUCAUCAACUGGAAAUGACACUAGAUUUAGUAAGGUAACCAAAGAUGGAAACAGUGGGUUGAAGGGAUCGAUUCGAAUCAAUGAGAGGUUGCAGAUUUCACAACAACCACCACCUCGUAAUCCAGUUACAUACUGGGAAAAAUUUCUCCCUGUUACAUCAAUAAAAGUUCUGCUGGUGGACGAUGAUGAUUCAACACGCAACGUUGUGUGUGCUUUGUUAAGGAAUUGUGGCUAUGAAGGUAUUGAUGUUGUUUUUUGUUUUGUUUUGUUUUGUUAAUCAUGCCUUUGAACUUUAAGUAUCUGGUUAUAUUAUAUGUAUAACUGCUACCAACGUGAUUGAGAUACAAAAAUCAUCAAAACAAAAAUUUAUAUUGCAUGCCAGUGUUGAUAUAUGUCACCGUUGGUAUUUACAGUCAAUGCUGUUUCCAAUGGUCUUCAAGCGUGGAAAGUCCUAGAAGAUCCAGGAAAUCACAUUGAUCUUGUUCUAACAGAGAUAGCUAUGCCUUUUGUAACGGGAAUAGGUCUUUUGUGCAAGAUAAUGAGUCACAAAACUCUAAAGAAUAUUCCUGUGAUUAGUAAGUGCCAUUCCAAACCCAAACUUUGCACCAUAUUUCUGUGCAUAUUAAUUAUUGCUCAUUUGGUGUUUUGGUGUACUGAACAUAUUGAAAUGUAUGCAGUGAUGUCAUGUCAUGAUUCUAUGGGUAUAGUGUUUAAGUGUUUGUCAAAAGGCGCAGCUGAUUUUUUAGUCAAACCUAUUCGGAGGAACGAACUUAAAAACCUCUGGCAACAUGUUUGGAGAAGAUGCCAUAGUGUGAGUUGCUUUACAUUUCUGUCUCAGGCAUGUGAUAAGACAAAUUUGAAUGUUGUUUCCCAGCUCAUUUGGAACAAAGGGUACAUGAUUUUGAGUUUAUGAAUGGGUGUCCAAAUAUACCAAUAGUUCCAACAGCAUCAUGUUUUAUUUUGUGGGUCUUUUCUUUGAACAACUUGAAUAUUCAAUUAUCCAGUUCAGUCUUCAAAUAUUAAUAUCAUUCCUUUAUUCAUGUAAGGAUCAAUUAGGGAAUUAGCAAAAGAUUAUUACUCCAUUACUUCCUUUCUAGUAAAUUUCGAAGUUAUAGAUCAAAUUAAUCUUAUGAAUCAAUUAGGGAAUUAGCAAAAGAUAAUUACUCCAUUACUUCCUUAGUGAAAUAAUAUAGCCAAUCUAAUUUUUGUAGCAUGAUAUUUAUCUUAUGAAUCAUUUCAUUGACAAACUUAGAUAUCAAAUUAACUCAUCAACAAUCAAUGGCAUUCCUUAACAUGAAUUAAUAUACUUUCUCAGUCUAGUGAUAGUGGGAGUGAAAGUGGAACAAACACCCGGAAAUUUGCAAAGUCAAGAAGCAUUUGUGCAUUUGACAACAAUACUGGUAGCAGUGAUGAGAAUGAUUAUGGAAGCAGAGGCUUGAGUGUUCAAGAUGGAAGUGACAAAGGAAGUGGAACUCAGGUAUUGCAUAGAUCUCACAUAUGUAGUUUUUAUUAAUUAAUUGAACGAGUUAGGUAUUGUAUCCCAUCUAAAGCCACUUUUCUAGCAAUAUCAUGUGUCAAUGUCAUUGAUUUUUCAUGCAUAUUAAUUUCAAAUUUCAAAAUCCAAAUGUCAUCACUGUUAGUUUUGAGUUUGGACACGAGAAGCCAGUCAGCGCGGAAGACUACAGUUAUCAACGUGCAUCAGAGUCAUUGAUCUAUUUGUCCAUUAAAAGUGAUGAUUUUAUGGUUUUCAGAAUUGAGACUUCAGCAAGUGUCGAGUUUAAAAAGAAUUGCAGUUUUAUAUUAUGGAACUUUAAAAUAGGACAGAAUACUGAACUGGAGAGAUUUGGUAUAGUAGUUUUAAGCUGCCGGAAAAUGGGGUGGUACAGACGUUUUUAAAAAAUAAAACUCAGGACUGGGAUAGUUGACACCGAUAGGAAGUUUAAUCGAAUGAGUGGUUAUUUGUGGAAGUGAACUUGAGCGACCAAUAUAGAAGAGAAGAAUAAUGGGUGUCCUUCUUUGUUGGGUCCACCUACAGAGGGUUAACAUAGCGAAGGUUUGCGUGUGCCAUUUAUUUGCUGUAUGAAUUAGCUAUAGCAUGAUCAAGUGUCACUGAAUUAUCUUGUCAUCCUUAGCAUUUUAACAUUCUACUGUCCUGAAUACAGUUAUUUAUGUAAUUAUUGUCAGGAACUGAGGAUAGAAUGAUGAAUGCUAUUAGUUUUUUUUUUUUUUAAGGUGUAACCAUCAGAAAUAUAGGAUUAUUUCAGAAUGCUAUUAGUUAUUUCAUCACUCAUACCACACAAAUUUUGAAUUGCAUAUUGUUGAAAUUAGCAUGUCAAUUUAGAUUGAACAAUUUGAAAUUAGCAUUUCCUAGACUGUGAUUUCCCCUAAUUAUUCAUUCAUCUAAUACCUAAAGCUCCUAUUUUGUGUAGAGUUCAUGGACUACAAAUCUAGCUCAAGUUAGCAGCAGCUCUCGUCCAGUUUCAACUCAUAAUCAAUCUCAUGAUGCUCCUGAUAGCACGUGUGCCCAAGUGGUGCAUACAAAGCCUGAAAACAUUCGUAGUAUGUGUGUACAUGCCACAGAAAAAGAGUUCCAUGAACCAAUUGAUCAUCCUGGUAUGCCUUGGUAGUAUCCUUUUCUGUUUUUUUGACAUCUGUUUUGAUUUUGAUAUUUCACCCAAAUUAACCACCUAGUUACUUUCCAGAUGAUAUUGCAAUGGGUAAAGAUUUGGCUAUGGGAAUAUCUUUGAACACACAACAAAAACAUGCACUUCAGGAAUUAUCUAACAAUCCAAUGCGUAAAGGGGUUAAUAAGAUGUCUGAUAUAGAUGGUAUGCAGCUCAAUAAAGGACAGAGUAAUGUCUGUGAAAAAGUACAACUGGAAGAGGACAGUGAUAAAAAUAGGAUGCAGGAAAAUCAGGGUACAAAUUUUGGUGUUGCUGAUAGCAGCAGUCCACAUGCUGAAAGCAGAGAUUUGAACACUUCAAAUGGUUUUUCUGGUUUUGCAAAAACAAAAGCAAGUUGUUGCUUCAAACAGCAUCCAUCACUUGAACUAACAUUGGAAAGGAUGGGAGAAGUAAAAGAUGAUGAACAUGUCACAGGUGAUGAAUGUAAUGUUUUGAGACAUUCAAAUCUAUCAGCAUUCUCCAAGUAAGAGCAAAUUUGAAAGCAUUACCACCUUCUAUUGGAAGCAUAUAUUGUUGCAUAAGCAUUACAUUGGUAAUUAACAUUUAAAUAAUUAAAUGUGUAUUUUCUUUUCUUCGUUCUGCAGAUAUAAUACAGCUUCUGCUUACCAGGUAAUGUUAUGUGGUCCUUACUCCUCGAUAGCAGGAGAUUUAUAUAUUUAGAAAAAUUUAGAUUUUGUGAUUUAUUUGCUUAUUUCAAUCUCAAAUCCCAGUCAUUUUAUAACUAACAUGAAGAAAUGACAAUUUGCUUUAUGUCUUAGUUAUUUUUCAGUGGUUUUAAAUUUAUUUAUUUUUGGUUUUAAAGAGCCUAGCGGCGAAAUUUACGCACACUAAGUGCGGAGAAGAGGGGUAUUGUGGGUUUUGAACCCGCGCCCCAGCAUAUCAAAUGUCUGCAACCUUUUACCAUCUGAGAUGCACUUGCGAGGCGUGGUUUUAGAUAGUUACAGUGAUAAACAAAUGCCAGUAGCAAUUGCUGGAAAAUAGUGCGUAGAACCAAAUCUCGAUGUUUGGGCAAACCUUAUGUUAUCUGUAUUUUUUAUCAGGCUCAAACUGGAAAUGUAGGAAGCUGUUCCCCACUAGACAAUAGCUCAGUUGCUCCAAUUACAGACACAAUACACAACUUCACAUCUCAUUCAAAUGCCACUCCUCCAAAUCAGCAGUCUAAUGGAAGCAACAACAUUAAUGACCUGAAUUCCACUAAUACAUAUCUUAGCACGAAACCUGAAAAUUUUGACAAGAAACCCAAGUCUGCUGGAGGGAUUGACUCUUUUAUUUCUUCUGAAUUCCAAACUGUGCAAAAUAAUAGUAUUUCUGCACCUCAGAAGAAGACUUCUUCCCAGGAUGAAUAUGCCGGAAUUGUUAAAGAACAGGUGCGAGGUUCUGAACAAGGGUUCCAAGUUGAGCACACUCACCAUCAACUUCAACAUUGUAAUCGCAUCGCCGAUAAGGCUGCAGUAGAUCUCCAAUCAGUUCAUGAUCUCUUGCUGAAAAGCACGACCAAAGAUGCUCAACAAUGUACGUUAUCAAAUGCGCUUGGAGGGCCAGCAGAAAGUAAUGGUACCAACUAUGGUUUGGAUGGAAGUGCAGUUGAGAGUGAUCAUGGGAGUAAUGGAAAGGGUGGAAGCAACACUUUGACAAUUAGAAUGAUAAAUGUGGAAAAUCAUGAUGUGGCAGCUGGGAGCAUUGGAGUUGGUGCAAUUGAUAGAAUAAACAUUGGAAUUGUGUCAUAUGCAGAACGAAUUGCAUUGAGGGAGGCUGCCUUGACAAAAUUUCGUCAAAAGAGAAAAGAAAGAUGCUUUGACAAAAAGGUAAUCUAUUUUUAAUUACUUUGUUCAUAAUGUGUUUGCGGAAGAUCAUAAUAUCACGUGUAUUUAGUUUAGUUAUUCUCUGCUCAUUGUGUUUCUAUAAUUUCUAUAACUGAAUUGACGAUGGCUUGUUCAGAUCCCACCUAGAUGGAAGAUUCUGAUAAUAAAAUCUGAUUAUAUUAAGUCAUCCUAUGAAAAUUAUAUUUUGCCAUUGGCUUUUUAUCACUCUGUGCCUUGUAAUCUAUAUUCUAUACUCAUCUCUGGGUAUGUUAUAUUUCAGCAGUUUUAUCAACUUAGUUUGGCUUUAUAUUGUAUCAAUUUAAUGCUCAAGUCAAUGACUUGGUCUUCAUAGUUAACAAGCACAGGAUGCUAUAUAUGUCAACAUAAAUUCGACCUGUUCAAUAUUUAAGAUCAAUCUUUUAUUUUUCAGGUUAGAUAUCACAGCAGGAAAAAAUUGGCAGAUCAGCGGCCACGUGUUAGGGGACAAUUUGUUAAACAAAUAGUGUAUGUUGCUCCAUCACUCCAUGCUUGUAUUUAUCAUUCAUUUUAUAUUUUUACAUUUCCUUGUCUAAGUAUUAAGUACUGGUUUCACUUUCUGUCCAUUUUUUUCCCUCAGGUCUGAUACCAAAGAAGAAGAAAUCAAAGAAAGCGAGGAACUUGUAUCUAUGGAUAAUUCUAGCGAUGUUCCACAACAAUACCAAUCAAAAUGUUGAUCAUUAUUCGACUGAUUUCGUUCCAGCAACUGCAUCUAGCUUCUUUGCACGUUCACCUCAGAAGAAGCUUGGAGUUUUGUGUAAUAGAAUCUGUGAGUAGAUAGGCAUCUUUUUUACGGGAAAACAUGACAUUUAAUUUGAAACUUCAAGACAAUGCUCUAGAUUCAAUUUAUGGUUGUGAACAUAAAAACUCCAAUGGGCCCCAUGUUCAUGUCGGUUAUGUUUCAUACUUGUUCAUGUCUAUAUUCUGCACAUAGUGAUUGUGUAUCAAAAGCAGGGAUUUAGUUACUCUAGAGUUAAAUGUUUAACCUCUAGAAACUAAAGUAUGAGGAUAGCUGCUGAUUGUAAUAUAAACAGUUAAGUGAUAAAAUAUACAUGCAUGUGAAACAAUUUGUGAAGUUUUUUUUUCUUUUGUCAGUAACAAUUUAUGAGGCUGCUAAUUUUUUUUUUUAUUGCUGCUCUUCUGUUGAAUUAAUUUCCUUGCACGUUUUAUCUUCUAAAUUGAACUUCUCUAUCAAAUCUCAAAUUCUGCGGCUGAGGGGGACAUGAUUCUAUCCCUUGCCCAAACUACAUUCGGGAUAUUUUAAAUGGUUGCUACGUGAACAAGGUGAGUUGGAUCCAAAGUAUUAUAGAUGUAGUAUAAAUGUGCACAAGGGUGAGUUGAAAAGACCAAGAUUUGUUGGGAACGACUUCACCAAAUUAUUCAAUGCCAAACUGAUUGCAGGAGGGUUUUAUUAAUAAUUUAGUAGUAUUUAUUAUUUAGCCAAAUCUUAGUAAUUUUCUAGAACUUUGUAUUAUUAUUUCGUUUUAUUUUAUUUCAGCCCACUGGUUUGUUAUUUAUUUCUUUCACUAUAUAAGCAGAACUUAUGUAGCCUAAGAGGCACACUUUUAUUCAUUAAUAAUAUUCAAGACUUUUCUCUCAAUUCUGGUGGAUUCCGGAAACCCUUAUUUCGAUAGGUUUGUCGCUUGCAAUGUGUCAAUUUAUUAGAGCAGGUUUCUCCUGUUCUUUUCCUAAAGUGAUCAGCCAUGGGAGAUCAACUGGUGACGAAAGCAGAGGUUGUCAUGGCUCUUACCCCGGCCAUUAAUGCUUUGGCUGCACAAAUGGCGAAAUUAACAACUAACCUGAAUAACAUCGCCAACAACAACAAAAACAAUCUGAACAGGAGAGGAGAAUCAAUUCCGGUUAUUAGGGUUCGUAAUAACAAUCAGACUAUUGAUGGCGAUGGAUGCGGGAAUCACCAUGAUUAUCGCGUAAAGGCUGAUAUUCCAUUGUUUUACGGAACGAUGGGUGUAGAAGAAUUUUUGGAUUGGGAGAUUGAUGUUGACAGAUUUUUCGACGUCAUGGAUGUCCCAGAAAGCAAGCAGGUUAAGAUGGUUGCGAACAGACUAAAAAGUACCGCAUCUGUUUGGUGGGAUAGACUUGUUGUUCAUAGACAGAGACAACAAAAAGAACCCUAUUCGAACUUGGAGAAGGAUGAAACAGUUGAUGAUUGAAAGAUUUAACUCUCGCGGUAGAUUGUCUCUCUCGCCGCUUGUUUCAAUUGAAAAAUUGGUGAGGAAGCAACUCUCGUCGCCACGGAUGUAUCAACUGCCGAUGCAGGGCGGAUAUAUUGAAGAGGCGGAUCAUGUCAUUAAUGAAGCCGAUUUUCAUAAUUCAACAUACUUGUUAUCGAUGGAGACAGAACAAAAUGAAUCAUAUGCUCAUCAAACCGAGAACCAUGUAAUUGGUUGCUCCUUGCAAAAUAAUGGGAAGCAUGUUGGUGUAGAUUUGCAUCAUGAGGCUAGUGACUGUGUUCUGGCUGAAGUGGACGACAAACAAGAGGAACAAGAGCAUUUGAAACUAACAUAUCAAGAAAACUUGAUACCUAAUCAUCAUUGCUUGGCAUCAGAUAAUUGUGGUAGUCCUGGUUAUGAUCCUACACUUUGUGGUGAUGAGGAUAACACACUUUUGGAAUUGUCUGGUGAAGCUGUAUCGGAUGAUGCAUAUGCUCGGAAAAGUUAUAUAACAGAUUCAGUUGAGGCUGAGUUGCAUCUUCAAGGAACAAGUCAGAUCGAUCAAAAGGGUGAAAGUUCAGACUGUGAUUGGGAUGGUAUAAUUCCCAAUUCUGCUAAUAUGUUAAUUGAAGCAGAAGCUUUUAAGGGUCUGAUGCAGAAACCAUCAGGUUCUCCUAUACAACUUCAACAAAGAAUGUCUCAACAAAUAGAUGAACCGAAUGCCGGUUCAAUUCAUGAUGGACAACCUUUAAUGAAACUAGAGUUUUUCCCUAAAGAAUGUGUCGCAACCAAAGAAGUAGCAGCAGAAGAAUCACCUUGUCGAACUCUCAUACUUUUUGGAACAACUCUGUUAGUAAAAGAUCCACCGGACUUAGUUCCCGCUCUGCCGCUGCCGCUUGCGCCACCAUGGCUAGUUACUGAAGCUAUAAAGCAAGCUAUCACAAUUGCAGCAUCUGUUGCGGAAGCUGUAACUGUUGAUUUUCAGUCACAGAGUCUACCUACAAAGUCAAAGGCAUCGGUGAUUUCUAGCAGUGAUAUUGCAAAAUUGUGUGUUCCGACGCCUCCACCAAAACAUCCAGAUCCAUGGUUCUCGACGACGAUGGGAAAAUCCUAUAUCGUGGGGGAGAUUGCCAAGCCUUUAAUUCAAACUGCUGUUGAUUUCCAGGUGAAGAAAAUUCCAGAGACUUUUAAUUCUUCAACAGAUUACAAGAACUACUUUAUGCCUCCACUGCUUGAGGAAACACACUCUGACUUAUAUUCAAACUCAUUAGGAGUGUCUCCUGCUCCUUUUUGUGAAGUUACGAAAGUUGAAAGAGACAACAAGCAAUUCAAACUUCCAAAAUCCUUGUUCUAUCAAAUAUCAUUCAAGAGUACAAAAGAAUAUAAUAGCAAAUACGAACCAGAACCUGGAUAUCUCAUUGCUUUCACAAAUAUUAAGCCUAAGAGAGUAGAUUUUGUGAACCAUAUAUUCUGCAACCUGCUUCCACCCGUCAAUCUAAUAACCAACAGCUUCAGUCAAUGUCAGACAUUUAGCUGCCAUGGCAUUCCUUUAGAUGAUGCUGGAAAAAAACUCAACCCGUUUUCCUGUCCAGUCACUGGCUCCAAUAUGGAAACAUGCGAUGUUUAUGAAAAUUAUGUUUGUGUUGGGGGGAAAACUAUUCUGUUUCUUCCUUCAUUCCAUAAUUUGUUGAAGCUCCUGCCAAUUUAUUCACCAAUCAACAUAACUGUUACUAAGAGAAUAAACUUGGCAUCUCUUGAUGAAGGUGUAAUAAUGGGGGUUUCAUUUGUUGUGACUCCAUUCCCUUAUCAUGUGAUUGAAACCAAUUUCGAUGAUACUGAUCAGUCAGACAUGCAUGCUCAACUUUUUCAAGGCCUUUCUAGCGUUCUACAUUCAAUGGACCAAGGUUUGAUGUGUUCUUCAAGUUGUGAUUUAGAAACAGUGACAGAGGCUGUAGAGAACUCAUCUUUGAUAACUGAUGUCCGAUUCAGUGCAAGCAUGCCGCGUCUAUCAUAAUCUUCUUUCGACAAAACUGUUAGGGCUUGGGAUGUUGACAAUUCCGGGUAUUCUCUUCGCACUUUUACAGGACAUUCUACAUCUGUCAUGUCACUAGAUUUUCACCCAAAUAAAGAUGAUCUUAUAUGCUCGUGUGAUGGUGAUGUUGUUCGACUAUUGCAUGCCUUGUGUGAUUUAUCGUCUCGAGAUUCUAAGUUUGAGCAGAUUUUUUUUGAUGAUAUAAAAGUGGCGACGCAGAUGAUUGAAAUGGUUUUCUUCACACUAACUGUUCUUGCUGGUUACAUACAGGAAGGCCAUGCUGCCUUUUAGUCAUGAGCACCUUUUGCAUUCAACGUUCGUAGCAUGCAAUUUAUAUCUGUUAACAAAACUUAUUUCAACAUAAUGGAGAGAUAUUGUACAUAUGUUGCUUGCACACCCCAAGGUUGACAUAUUCAUGGAUGAAGCUUGUGGAUCAGUUUGUGUGGUUGUUAGGUGUCUUGAGACUACACUUGUAGCUUAUAUUGAAGAUAUUUCCAUGGAAUCAAAUUUGGAAUUCAACCUAACCCCGAGUAACAUGCUCAAAGAUUCUUACGCACAUCAUAGGACAUCAUUAUUUGUCAAGUUCUUUGCAAAUCUUCAUUGUUUUGUUCCUAAUGUUUGUGUAGAGCAAGAAAGGAACCUUUUUGUUUGCAAGAUCAUGUCUGCUCAUCGGAGGCUCAAGACUAAGCGUGUGUUUGGUUGUGCGGUGGAAAGAAUUGAUUUUGGUAGAAUUGAUUUAAGUAGAAUUGAUUUUGGUUAAAAGUGAGUUGAACAUAAAGUGAUUUAUGUUGGGGAGGCCUCCACUUAAUGGAAUUCCUUAAUGGAAAUAUGAUCCACUUUGUAUCAAGGGCGGCCUCCACAUUUUCAUUAAUUCUUCACAACUUGUAGAAAUUGGUCAUCAACCUCAUAGUUUCAUUAACUAUGUAGUUACUCUCUUCAUACAAACUUCUAUAUAUAGGUUGGCUCAUUUGUCACUCUUUCAUUCUUAAACAAGCAAAUAGCCAAAUAGUUGCAGUGUUUGGUACUCAAGGGUAAGCUCAAACACUCAUCUUCUGUCUAUUAAUUCAAUUUUGAUAACAUUGCAUUUGAUGUGUUUGAUAAAAUGCCUAAAUAAAAACAAUUUAUUUCUUUUGUUUUCCUUGACCUUAGUUAUGAUUGUUUAUUUUAUUUUUUGCCUGAAAUAUUAAUGAUAUUGAUGGAGUUUGAAAAUAGCUUCUAUGCUUUUCAUCAAAUGAUACUAAUGAAUAUUAUUUCCAUUGUAUGAGUACUUUAGAUUGAGUUAUGUUCUAUACCAUUUAUCACUAUAGUUUCAACUUUGUUGACAGAAGGAAUGUUCAUAGGUGGCUUUUCAUUUUUUUUUUUUUCUCUAUCUUUUGUCAACUCUAGAAAAUAAAGGAAGAGCUAUCUAUGGUGUUCAUAUGUGGUUUUAUAAUUUCUUUUUACCAAAUUUUCUCUUAAACACAUGUAUUAUAUCUGAAGUUACAAGUUUCGAAGGAUAAUAUCUAAAGAAUCUGUCAACCUUGAUGAUGAAGACCUUGAAUAGUUUAGGACCAUGGAUCUUGAAAUAGUUGCAAGAAGAGAAAGCUCUCAAGCACAAAUGCCACUUAUUCAUGUCUGUUAUUUAAUAUUUACUUUUGACAAGGUUUUAGAUGUUUGUGUUUUUUUAGUAGAGAAUAUGUCUUUAUUUUACUGAUGUUUUGGUUCAGUUUUGCUACUAUUUUGGUUCUGUUUUUCUGUAUGAUAAUAUAAACAGUCUCAAUAAGCUCUUCAAAUGAUAAUGAUAAUAAAGUCUCUCUUUGUUUGCUUCAUUGUUUUACUUGAACUGAUAGUGAUUUUUGUUUACCAAUUUCACCUCAUUAGAUAAGUGGUUAUUCGAAUAUAGGUUUGAUUCAAAUAGAUUAAUAUUUAACCUUGUUUACAUAGAAUGGUGAAUACCAAGAAAAAUGUUGUGCGUUCCUCCUCACCUAAUGAUGGGGGGCAGAAAACAAAAGCUAAUUGGGAUUAUAAGUCAACUGAAAACUUUGUGAAAGCAUGUUUGGAGCAAGUUUCCAACAGAGAACGUGUUGGUACGAGCUUUACAAAAAAAGGGUGGAACAAUAUUAAGGCCCAAUUUCAUAAUUUAACCGGACUGAAGUAUGAGAAGGCUCAAUUAAAGAAUAGGUAUGACAGUCUGAGAAAGGAUUGGAGAGCAUGGUAUAACUUAUUUGGGAGAGAAACUGGAUUAGGGUGGGAUCCGGUGAACAACACUGUUGUAGCACCUGAUGAGUGGUGGGAGACCAAACAGCUGGUAUGUAAUAGAGAAAAUUGUUAUUUCAUAAGCCUUAGAUAUGUAUACCCGUGUUUCUUAUAUGAUGAGAUAUGAAAAUGCAGGAAAACCCUCUUUAUGAAAAAUUUAGGAACAAGGGGCUUCCAUUUGCCAAUGAGUUAACCACACUUUUUAAGGAUGUAGUGGCUAAUGGAGAGUACACUUGGGCACCAUCAUGUGGGGUAUUGCCAUGUGUGUUUGAAGAUGAUGAUAAUGAUGUAGUGGUUGUAGAAGGAUUUGGCGAUAGCGAGGAUGCAAGUGUUGGAGCAACAACUGAAUUUGCAAAUAUUGGGCUGAAUUCUUCACAAAAAAAUUGAUGGUCAAAAGAGUGGUGAGAAGAGGAAAAGAGUUGUUAGAGCAGACAAGCCAAGUAAGAAAAAAUCAAGUGCAUCAUCAAAGAUAGCUGAAGCAGUUAGUUUAAUAGCAGAGACAUGUCGUUCUCGCAAUGAUGCUGCGGGUAAUGCAUCUAUUGGCGAAGUGAUGGCUGAGCUUCACACCAUGGAUGAAAUCUCAAAUGAUCUUUAUUUGCAUGCGCAGUGUUGCAACUUGCUGAUGUUUAAGCCUGCAAGGGAGAUUUUUAUUUCCCUACGAGGUUCAGAGGAGAAAAGGUUGAAUUGGCUUAAGCAUACAAUUGAUAACCCAUUGCCAUUCAUGACUAUGUAAUUUGGAACCUGUGUGACUAGGAUGUAAUGGGAAUUAACCUAGGAAGUACUAUGAAUUAAGAAGUAAUCUACGAAGUACUAGUAACUAUGAAGUACUAUUUUGUUUAGUCUUUAAUGUUGUAAUGCUCUGUUGUCUUUAAAUUAAGAAGUAAUCUAGGAAGUACCGGUAACUUUGAAGUACUGUUAUGUUUUUCCUUUCAAUUAGGAAGUAAUCUAAGAAGUGGUAGUAACUAUGAAGUACUCUUAUGAAGUACUAGUAACUUAUGUAAUGUUUCUAUCCCUUAAUGAAGACUUAUGUUGUGUGAUAAUUAUGCUCGUAUUUAUGGUUCACUUAUGUUGUUUUUUUGCUUCAGGGUUAACUGCUAUUUUGGUUCUGAUUUGCGGGUUUUCUUGUUCAGUUUUUAGCACCUUUUUAGAUUGUGUCAAAAUAUUGUCCUUAUCAUAGUUAUUUGCAAUGUUGUUAUGAUUUCUGCACUAUAUUCUGCACAUGAUUUCUGCACUAUAUUUGUUUAGGUAGUUUGCUGCAAAAUGCACAGAUAUACACAAUAAAGAAAACUAACAUAUGGGUUGCAUUAGGUAGUUUUCUGCAAAAUGAAAUACAUAAGAUUUACUUUGCUGGUAAACUUAUUUACAUUGCUAGUACCUUCUGAAUGUACACAAUAAAGACACAUAUGUCAAAUAAGAUGCAAAAACAAUGCAGACAAGUAUAUAUACGUAAUCCGAGUAAAAAUACAAUAUAUGGCUGACAGGAUAAUUAAUUUCUUCUACAAAGCUCAUGCGCUAUAUUUGUCUAUAAUUCAAAUGGCAUGAUUUCUGAUUGUUCUGAUCAUUGUUAUGUUUCUUAUGAUUUCUUAUGUUUAAUAUCAUGUUUUAGAUUGUGUGACAUUCAAGAUAGCUCCUGAUAUAAUAAAUUAACUUUUUUUUUUUGUUUUUCUUACUAAUUGUUUACCUUUGACAGUAGCCAAAUCUCAUUGCAAAAUGGACUAUUGUAAUGAAGAAUCAAAUGAAGACGAUGAUUUUUUUGAACAAGCUUCUUUAGUGGCUGCACUAAUGGGUGAGUAUGCUGUGAAACAUUUAUGUAAAGAGCCAUGUAGAACUAGUGAGCUAACAGGGCAUGCAUGGGUGAAAGAAGUAUUGCAAGGAAAUCCCACUCGUUGUUAUGAGAUGUUUCGAAUGGAAAAACAUAUUUUUCAUAAACUUUGCACUAAAUUAGUUGAUCAUGGUUUAAAGCCCACUAAUCACAUAGGGGUAGAAGAGAUGGUUGCAAUGUUCUUACUUGUUGUUGGACAUGGAGUGGGUAAUAGAAUGAUUCAAGAAAGGUUCCAACACUUAGGAGAAACUGUGAGUAGACGUUUUCAUGAUGUGUUAGUUGCUUGCUUGAGUUUGUCCAUCGAAUAUAUAAAGCCUCAAGAUCCUUUGUUCCGUGAUAGUCAUGCAAAAAUUCAAAGUGAUCCACGGUAUUGACCAUAUUUUAAGAAUGCCAUAGGAGCAAUCGAUGGUACGCAUAUUCCCUGUGUGGUUAGUGCCAAUGACCAAACUAGAUUUAUUGGACGAAAGGGAUAUCCGACACAAAAUGUAAUGGCUGUAUGUGAUUGGAACAUGUGCUUUACUUUUGUUUUAGCCGGAUGGGAAGGUACUGCCCAUGAUGCUCGUGUUUUUGACCAUGCUCUCACAAAUGCAAAUCUAAAUUUUCCACAUCCUCCUCCAGGUACUAAUAUUAUCUUUUACAACUUAUUUAUUAGUAUUAUUCUUUACAAUUUAUAAUUUAAUUUGUUUUUAGGUAUGUAUUAUUUGGUGGAUGCCGGUUAUCCAACACCGAUGGGAUAUCUUGGUCCAUACAGAUGUGAACGUUAUCACCUCCCUGAUUUUCGGCGUUCUCAUGGGUUUGAAAAUAACAACGAGGUAUUCAAUUAUUAUCACUCAAGUUUAAGGUGCACAAUAGAAAGAACUUUUGGUGUAUGGAAGAAUAGAUUUGCAAUUCUACGACGCAUGCCUAAAUUCACAAUUAAGACACAAGUUGAAGUUGUUGUUGCAACAAUGGCUAUACAUAACUUUAUUAGAAGGAAUGCUGAUAUGGACGUCGAUUUCAAUCGGUAUGAGGAUGAAGACAUAACCCUUGAUCAUGAUGAUUAUCGUAGACUAGUUAAUUUGGAUUUAUCUCAAAAUUUAAAUAUAGCUUCCUCAUCUGAGAUGAAUCAUGUUCGAAACUCGGUUCGAGAUCAAAUUAUAAAGUUCAACAAAAAUCAUUAGUAUUGUAGUAAUGUUUAAUUUUAAAAGACCAUCAGAGAUGAGAUAACAGGAUGCAUUGAGAAGGCAUAUGACUAUCUUGCAAAGAAACACCCUCUCUGCAACUCAUCAACCAAACACUUAGUUAUGCUAGGGAGAUGGAGAGGAUUGUCUCAAAAGAAAUGGAUGCAAUGAAUUUUGUGUUUUCCAAGAUUGCUAAUAUUGUCUGAUGAAAUUGUUUACUUCUGAUUCAAUGUGGAACUCUGAAAUGAUUCUAUCUCUUUAUUAUGUUCAUCUAGGUGUUGUAUUGUUCCUUACAGUAUCCUUUUCUUUCUUCUUUACAGUGCUCAAAAUCAUUAUAUACUUGUGUUGACUAUAAUAUCGUAAGAAUUGGACAAAUUGAUGAAUUUCAAAUCUAUUUGAAGGUUCAUAUUCAAAAAAAAAAUUAUAUAUAUUCCCUACAUGCAUUUUUAUUUGAAUAUUGUGUGAUUAACAAUUAUAUUAAUCUAGUAAUUUUAUUGUCAGUUAAUCAAAAAUAAAUGAAGGAUGAAAAAUCAAAUAAAUGUAAAAUUUAUAUAUACAUAUAUACAAACACACACACUCACAUUUUAAAGCCCAUUUUGGUCUUUUAUACAUGUAAAAGCAAUUAUGACUCAAAACAUCCAAACAAAAUUUUUCAUACAAAUCACUUUUGUUUUGAAGGUAUCCAAACAUAAAUCACUUUACAUUCAACUUACUUUUAACCAAAAUCAAUUCUACCAAAAUCAAUUUUUUUCACCGCACAACCAAACACACGCUAAGUUUCCCUUUCAUAUUCUUGCUCUACCACCAUUACGCCCCAACCAAUCACACUAUAAUGAAACUUGAAAGUAAAUUACUUACAAAACUUUUCUUCAUUACGCACCUUGAACUUUUAAUUUUCUUAUUGUAGCAAUUUAUUUACUUAACUUGCCUAAUGCGAAUAUUUUCUUUCUAGAGUUAGCACAAAUUUUAUUUUUUCGCUUAUCGAUUAAAUUUGAUAUAUUAGUUUUAAAUAGUCAAGCAAAGCAGAAUUUUGUAGGCUACGCUGUUUUGGCCGAUAGAAGUAGUGUUUGCCUAUAAAUAUUUGAUUUGUAAUUUUUUUUUAAUAUAAUCAACCAAUCAAGCAGGUUAUUUUAUGCAUGUUUAUCUCUUUAAUAUGUUGCCUUAAUAUUUAAUUUCAUACGUUUCUUAGUUAAGUAGCUUAAACAUCGUACUAAUUACAUAUUUUUGGAGUAGUUAAGAAACUUACAGCUGAGUGACAAAGUUCAUUCUUCAGCAGAAUCGCAUGAAUAAGAGGGAAUCAUUAUUGAGAGUUAUUAACCGAUAUCUCAUAUAACUUUUGAGUUUGACAAAAACAAUGUGUCACUCUCUUAUGUUAAUAAUAAAGGAAGGUGAAACAUAUGACGGGUAGCAAAGCUAGGUUUGAAUAAUUUUUUUUUUAAUUUUUAUACUUGAUGCUAAAGUAGUAGUUACCACAAACGGCAUGAAAACCCAUUGUUCAUAAGCAAAAUAAAUCAAGAAUAAAGGUGGAUAAUAAAUUAUUUAUUUUGUUUAGAAAGAAAAACAAACUAUGUUGUCAUCGUAUUCAAAAUAUAAUUAGCAAUCAUUGUAAUAGUUGGAUGGGUCGAAAUCAAAUCAAAUUGCUUGUUAUGAAGUUGAUUUGCUAACUUUUAAAUUUAUAGAGUUUUUUCUUUUUAAGAAAAAUCAGUUUUUACGAACAAAAAUUGACACACUAAAUGCAUAAAAAAAAAAGAUUUACGAACAACUAAUUGUACGUUUGACAACUUAUUUGCUAUUUGUUACUCCUCUGUUUUAAAAUGGAAGGUACAAUUGGAAUUUAACCUUAAACUAACCUAAUUAAUUGAAAUAAGGAUAAGGAUACUUUGACAAAAAUGGGAGAUUGAGAUUUUCACACUUGAUAGCUACUCAUCUUCUUCAGAAGGAUAUAAAUGGUUAGUUUAUGUGUUAAUAUUUUUGGUGUCUUUGAAAGAGGAUGAAGAUCCUUCCAAAAUAAAAGAGGAUGAAGAAAUUAUAGGUAAUAACAUUUUUUUUUUUUUUUUGAAUUCAACACUAAGCUUCUUUCUGAAUAAAUAGAGAUAUAAGUUUAAAUUCAACACUGACAAUUCAAGAACAUUAAAUUUUUUGAGGAUAAAUUUUCGCGUCCAUUGUAAACUAUCUGAUUUAAGAGAUUAAUCUUUAAAAUUUUGCGCAAAAACAUAUAGGUAAUAACCAAAAAAAUAUAUUUGAAUUCACCGCUAAGCUUCUUUAUAGAUAAAUAGAGAUCUGAGUUUAAAUUCAACUUUGAAAAUGCAACAACGUUAAACUUUUGAGGAUAAAUUUUUGCGUCCAUUGUAAACUACCCGAUUUAAAAGAUUAAUCUUUAAAAUUUCGUGCAAAAACACCAAUUUAGACAAAAAUAUUUGAAUUUUUAAAAGAUUAUCACAUCACAUUAUAAUUCAAAUUUCAAAUGAAAGUUUUGCCGCCUAUAUGUUAUACUCAUAUUUAUUUAAUUUUGCCAAAAAGUAAAGUAUUAAUAUUAUUAAUCAUUUAUAGACAAAAUACUAUUAACCAUUGAUAUAAAUAAAUGAAGAUACCUCUUUGGAUAAUUAGAAAAAUAACAAUUUUUUUUGAGUUAUUUUAAUCCACUAUAAUAUGUUCUUUCCCAAAGGGCAACAGCAAAGUUCAAAAAAACAAACAUAGAUUAACAAGCACGUCACACCGGUGCACAAAAUGAAAGAAAGCAAAUGUUAUUUUGAUAAUAUUUUUUUUUAUCUUUUAAUACUAUUUGUGAUUGUGUCAAGGUCCAAUCUCUUAACGGAUCGAGUUAUUUUAAGUGAUUAACUGAAGUGUAGACUAUCACAUGAGCACAUGCUAGAAAACUACUAAAUCAAGAUUCAUGAUCGUCUAGUAGACUUUAACCAUCCAAAAUAGAUCCAUUAAUGCUCAUCUAAAUACAACGGACCAAAGAGAGAGUUUUCAUAGCUAGGUUUUGGUUCUUGAAACUCUACUGCACCCACUAUAAAGACUAACUCAUAGUCUCUAAAGAUACACACAUUCCAAACCUAAAAACCUCACAAUUAUUCUGUCGGAGGAUAGGUAGCUUACAUGGUUGAGUAAUGGAUUAAAAGAGUUAAGAAGUUAAAGAUGCAUGGUUUAAAUUCUGACCUACAAGCGAGAUAAGAAUUACGUAACAAUUAACAUAAUACAUUUAUCAUUCUAACUUGUCGAAAAAUCAUUUACUCCAAUAGAGACUCUCUAACAAAAUGUCUAAAUGGGACUCGCCAAUAACUCUUUAUCAUUUAUAUUUUAACAAAAGUGACUAAACAAUAAUUAUUUUAUUAAAAAGUUAUGUGGGGUCCACUCAAGAAUGAAUUUCUUAAGUGAGACGUCAGGUCUUAAGAGAGUUGAACAUAAAGUGAUUUAUGUUUGGUUACCUUCAAAAUAGAAGUGUUUUGUAUGAAAAAUAUUGUUCGGAUGUUUUGUGUCAGAAUUGCUUUUAGAUGUGUAAAAGACCAAAAUGGACUUCAACAUGUGUUUGUGUAUAUAGUUAUAAUUAUAAGAUUAACAUAAAAAUUUUUUUAGGGAAAGAUUAACAUAACUUGUUAAUCACACAAUAUCCAAAUAAAAAUACAUGUAGGGAAUAUAUGUUAAACAUGAAGUACUCGAUUAAAAUUACAAAUAGAGAAUAUAAUAUGUAUUUUUUUGACAAAAAAUAGAGAAUAUAAUAUAAAGUGUAGUGCAAGUUUGAAACAUUAAUACAAUACUAAUUAUUUUUCUUGAACUCUAUAAUUUGAUCUCGAACCGAGUCUCGAACAUGAUUCAUCUUAAAUGCAGAAGCUAUAUUUAAAUUUUGAGAUAAAUUCAAAUUAACUGGUCUACGAUAAUCAUCGCGAUCAAGGGUUAUGUCUUCAUCCUCAUACCGACUGAAAUCAACAUCCAUAUCAGCAUUCAUUCUAAUAAAGUUGUGUCCAUUGUUGCAAUAACCACUUGAACCUGUGUCAUAAUUGUGAAUUUAGGCAUGCGUCGUAGAAUUGCAAAUCUAUUCUUCCAUACACCAAAAGUUCUUUCUAUUGGGCACCUUAAACUUGAGUGAUAAUAAUUGAAUACCUCAUUAUUGAAGACGAUGAAAUAUUGAAACUUGAGUGCACCUUAAACAUGUUUGCCCAACUGAUGUCUGCAAACCGAAACACCAGAAGGAAGAGGCAGUCCAGUUAACAUAAAAAAAGCCUAGAAAGCAACUACAGAGACAACAAAAACCAACCAGACCCUUGGCCAAAAAACUACCCCCAGCCGUAGCAGGUUAGCAGGCCAGGAACAGCACCUGAAGCCGCAACCAAACCAGCCGCAAAACCAUAAGAAACAUGCUUUGAAUGUGUCAUACCCCAAAUUUUGACCUAAGGUCCCACCGACACACGUCUCCGAACUCGGAUCAGACUCACAUUUCAGUGAAAAAUUCGGCAGGGAGGUAUUUUGAAAUACCUCAUAAAGUUCCGAAUCGGACCCUCUUCUCUCAGUCUUUAAUUAUUUAUUUCCAUCUUUUAUUUUUUUUAUUUGUUUAUUUUAUUUUAGAAUUCUAAUUUUAAUUUUAGUCCAAGAUUAGAUUAAAUUUUUCUUUUUUAUUUAUUUUAUUUAAAACCAAAAAAUAUAGAUAUAAUCCUUUUAUUAUUAAUUUUUCUUUUUUAUUAAAACCCAAAAUUGUCCAAAAUCCCAAAAAUGUCCAUGAGUCCCAAGAACAGUCCAGGUUCAUGCGUAACAAAUCACAAGCCAUCAUCCUCAUCCUCAUCCAGUCUGUUACGCGCCUAUCUCCGUCUCAAUCUCCUAAAAUCUGCAAUUUUUGUAACAAAUCCUUGUCCCCAAACAGCACUAUAAAUACAUAACCUGCAUAACAAAGAAAAAACACAACAGAACACAAGAAAAAACAGAGAACAAAAAAAAACAGAGAAAGGCAUCGCACGCAACAGAAGAAGAAAAACAGAGAAGCCACACACAACGGCAAGCAACAAACACAUCCCAUAGAAAAGCAGAACCGGCACGGCAACACACACGCACCAGUCCAAACCGCAACACCAACACACGCACACGCACCAGUCCACGCCACAACACACGCACGCGCUCAGAAACGGAAAUACGGUCGCGGGCAACACAACACAGCACAUACACGCACACACAGAGGCGCACAAACCGUCACAACAGCGACAAUCACAUCACAGAACCGGCCACAAGAAAGCCGAAUCCAUUUCUUAAACAAAAGGUAUAAAUUUCUUUCCUUUUUUUAGAUCUAGGCGUUUGGGUAAAGGUUUUGGGAAUUUAAAGGCUAGAAGUGAACAGAGGGAGAGAAGUAGAAGAGAAAGAGCGAAAAAAAAUAAAAAAAAAGGAGCUUUUUAGCUCCGGCGCGGCGGCGCAGCCGCGAUGGCUCGCCGGCCACCGCGCCGGAAUCCUCCCGGCCACCUCACCCCCCGCCGGAGAAGAAGAAGUAGGAAGAGAGAGAAGAGAGAGUUUAAGAGAUUUAGGGAAGAAGAGAGAGAAGGAGGGGAAGGAAAUGAAGGAAUUUAGGGUUUACAACCCUUAUAUACUCUUCAAACCGGGUCGCCCAUGACCCAUGACCCGCGACCCGGUUCGUUUACUUAAAGCCCAAUUCUUUUUUUUUGCUUUCUACACACCCCUGCUUACUACUGCACCCCACCUUGUGUUUGGACCCUUUUUUAUUUUUUUUUCCUUUUCGUAUUUAUUUAUUUAUUUUUUUUUUUUUAGCAUUUUUAUUUUUUGCAGACCUUAGAAUGUAAAUAGGCUUUUUUAUGUAAUAGUCAUAGAUUUUAUAUUUCUAAUUUAGGGUAGCCGCGCUUUUAUUCUUUAUGCUCUGUUAGUUUAUAUAUUUAUUCAAAAAUCACAAAAACAUGCAAAUAACCAAAAAAAUCACAAAAAUAUUUUCAUAAUAAACCUUGACCCUAAAUCAAGUGAUCGUCCUUUUUUUCUCAAUCAAAUAUCAAUCAAUUUAAUCAUGCUUCGAGUUAUCUUUUUUUUUAAUAAAAAACACAAGCAAAUUCUUAUUUGCCACUUGGCUUUUAUUUUUAAAACCUUUUUCAAAAAACUAAUAAAAAACACAAAACCAAUCAAACGUCGUUUUCUACCCCGAACUACGAGGUUUUGAUCCUUCACGGGUACGUAGGCAGAGGACACUCGUCCUUCCAAACAAUAAAAAAUGUAGAUAAAUUAGGUCUCACUUUAUUUUCUUCUUCAUCACAUUAAUUCCUUCUUUUCAAAAGCAAGCAAGUUAUAGCGCAUUAAAUUAAAUAAAACCAAGAGGUUCCCGUAGAGUACUGCGGACAUAGAGGGUGCUAAUACCUUCCCUUUAUGUAACUAACCCCCGAACCCUAAAUCUUUUCAAAUAGGGGUAGUUUGAACUUUUUUCCCCUUUUCUUAAUAAAAUUAAAUGUUCAGUCGUGAAAUAAUAAAGUGAGUCAAAAGCUAAUCAAAUAGCCUUGAUCUCCAAAAAAAUGACGCGACAGAAAUGGCGACUUCACUGGGGACCCCCCCUAAGAGGGUUGAGCCUAACUUGGCUUUAUUUAAUCCUUUGUGCUAUAACUUGCUUAAAACAAAAAAAAACAAAAAACAAAAAGAUGGAAAUAGUUGUACAUAUCCUCUCUUUUCUUUCUCCUCUUUUCUCUUAAACAUGAGUGGUGAGAUAAGUCCUACACCCGGGCUUGAGAGAAACAUAAGAUAGGACGGUGGUAUAACCAAAGUGCCUUUCCGAGAGUCAAGUCUCGUGUUUGGGUUCAUGUGGUAUAACCCCACUCAAUGGAGGGAUUUUGGAAGUAAUCUAUGUCGGCAUGAGUAGUCGUGUUGGCAUUAUAUUUUCAAGUGACCGUCGAAGUUGAGGACCUUUAGUUACCAUUAACCCAUCUUGGCCUUUUAGGACGUAGUGCGGUGGCUAAUCAAGAGUAGUCUUGAAUUAGUUGAUACGCGAUACUACACUCAAACGAAACUUUCAUACGAAUCUUAUUGGAUCAAGAGUAGUCUUGUAACCCGAUAAUAUUCGGAAGUGGUUAAUGACUUUGGGAACUUGGUAGAACCCGUGAUACAGGUACAAAUGAAACCAUAGUCCUUACCAAAUGGCAUUGUUACCCUAAGCUCCAACAUUGUGGACUUAACCUCACCAUGCAUGAUCAUGCAUACAUGCAUUCAUCCAUAAAAAACUUUUUUUUCAUCAAAAUAUCGAAGGACUUAGAUAAGUUUUCGUAAACAUCAAAGAUAUGGUCCUUGUAAGAAGGAACACCAAGAAACCCAAAACUUCAAAAAAAUUUUAGCUUUUGCUAAGAACUUUUUCCUUGGUUUCGUUCUUACUUUUGAAAAAGGAACCAAUAGCAAUAUCUUCACAAAUUUCAAAUAAAACAAUGUUCCUUAUCAAGUUCACAAUUACUUUGACAAGUCCUUCAAAAAAAAACGUGUCUAUUUUUUGCAUAAGCAUAUCAUACAUCAUUUUGCAUUCAAGUCUGAGUCUUACACUGUGUCUUUUCUGCAAGAGGUCAAUUCAUCUCAAAAGAGUCAUGGCAUCCUCGUCUGAAACCCACUCGCAUUUACAACACUCGAACAAUCAUGAGGAAAAGAUGGAGUUCCUCGAACAAGAAAAUCAAUUGCUCCGUGAGGAAGUGGCAUCCAUGCGAACUAAGAUGGAUGAAAUGACUGAAUUGAUGAAAGCAUUGACGACUGCACAUAAUCAACCACCACCUCCUCCUCCUAUCAGCACUCAGGCCGAAGCAACUGUCUCUAUUGUCCCUGAAUGGACGAUACCUGUCAGUACUCCACCAAAUUCUAUGCCAGAAGGUCAUCCUUGGGGUGUCCCUAUUUGUCCCAGUGAAGUAUUCCAGCCUAUUGCUUCUGAAACUCGGAUGCCUACUCAUCAAUAUACAGCUUGUGUUCCUCCGCCUCCUGUGAGAGCUCCUCUAGCUGCCAUGACUUCCAUCCCACAAAAUGAAGAACCCAUCUUCCAUUCAGGGAACAUGGAACCCGAUGAUAGAGUGAAUGACUUGCGGGAAAAAUAUGAUGAAAUGCAUCGAGAAGUGAGGGCUCUCCUCGGGAAAGAAAAAUUUGGAAAGACCGCUUAUGAUCUCUGUUUGGUGCCGAAUGUCCAGAUACCUCACAAGUUCAAGAUUCCAGAUUUUGAGAAGUAUAAAGGGAACUCCUGCCCUGAGGAACAUCUGAAAAUGUAUGUAAGAAGGAUGUAUGCAUAUGCUCGGGACGAUCAGGUCCUAAUUUUCUACUUCCAAGAAAGCUUGACUGGCCCCGCCUCAAAAUGGUACACGAAACUAGACAAAGCAAAAAUCCAAACUUUUCGGGAUCUAUGUGAAGCUUUUGUGGAACAAUACAGUUAUAAUGUGGAUAUGGCUCCAGACCGAAGCGAUCUCCAGGCAAUGACUCAGGGAGACAAGGAAACAUUCAAGGAGUAUGCCCAGCGAUGGAGGGAUACCGCUGCCCAAGUCAUCCCGCGUGUAGAAGAGAAAGAAAUGACCAAGCUCUUCUUAAAAACUCUCAAUCAGUUCUACUACAAGAAGAUGGUCGGAAGUACGCCCAAGAAUUUUGCUGAGAUGGUUGGUAUGGGUGUACAGUUGGAAGAAGGGAUCCGAGAAGGACGAUUGGUCAAUGAAAGUGUCCCCGCAGGCAGUUCAAAAAAGAAAGACCAAGAAGUGAAUAUGGCGAAAGGUCAUCCUCGACGACAGGCUCAUCCGCAAUUAAAUCCACCUCAUCAGGCUCAGAAAACACCGCAGUAUGAUCCGAUUCCUAUGAAAUAUGCGGAGCUGCUUCCUUCAUUGCUUGAAAGAAACCUUGUCCAGACCAGACCACCUCCGCCGAUACCUAAGAAAUUACCGGCUAGGUGGAGACCUGACCUCUUUUGUGCCUUCCAUCAAGGGGCACAAGGUCAUGACGUUGAGCAUUGUUUCUCCUUGAAGAUUGAAGUCCAGAAACUGAUUGACGAUGAUGUUUUGCCUUUCAAGAAUUUGAAUCCGAGCGUGUAACUGCAAUUGGGUUGAUGUUUAUGUCUUCUUCUGCUACUCGAUUUAGUGAUAUGUUUGUUUUUUUACUACCUUUUCAAAAAACAUCCUUUCGUCCCGCCCGAGAUGAAAGUGAACUGGUGUAGGGCUUUUUGCUUUAAGAAUUGUCAUCAUUUAUAAAAAAGGUCGUUUUGAUCCCGACUUUGCUUUUAUUUUGUGCUUUUUCUUGGAAAAUGGUAAUACAAAAAACCAAAAAAAUCUUUCUUUAAUCAUUCUCAAAUAUCUGCAUAAUCAUAACUUAUACUUACUUGUCAAAAUCAAUAAUCAAAUCAUGCAUUAAUAAACCCGUUGAACACAAUGGCCAUGUACUCUCUACCAACUUUGAGUUCCUUGUAUCCGAAGCUGAAGAAGAGGAAAGUGAAGAGGCUCCCGAUGAGAUCUCUCGCAUACUGGGGCAUCAUAAGCCGUCAAAGCUACAAAAAAUCAUGAAGAUAGUUCAGAGGAUGGCAAUCGCUUACAAAGAUUAGCUCGAGGUGCUAUCAUUUUCUUUGCUCAGAUAUCCUGCUUCAGUACACAUUUCAACAGGGGCAACCCCCCUCCUUCGCUCAAGUAUACAACAUGAAGGUCGUGCUUCUCGCGGAGGUCGAAGUCCCAACAAUAGGAGUUCUGCUGAAAUCCAAGUUUGAAAGAACUUAAAAUCACAAGAGGUUGAAACAAACUUCCAACAAUAAGGCUUGUCCCCGUGACUUUCAAGAAGAAGACUUUGUGCCCGAAAAGGUACUACAUUUCCAACUAGACUCCAGGGGCAAGUGGACGCCUAACCAUGAAGGCUCAUGUGCAAGGACUUUUACAACUAUGGAUGGUGACAAACUUGCACUUCCUAUGAAUGCCGGUACAGUCAAGAAAUACUCUGUCAAACAUAAAAGCUCGAUAAGUCGUAAACCUGAAAAAGUACGGCUUAGGCAAAAAUGAGCGUCUCGGUGGACUGAAAACCCAAAAGGGCGGUCCGGGCAAAAGUUAGAGACAUGAACAAAAACGAUUAUCCUGAUAGAUUGAAAACCCGAAAGGGCGAUCUAUGCAAAAGUUAAGGAUCAAAAGACAAAGUAACUGCAUCCGGUCAGACAUAAUCCACUUGGGGCAUCUAGCUAUCAAAAGACCUCCGAUUCGAAGCAUCUGCAGAUCAAAGACUUGGAACAGGGGCAUUCAAAGUUGUUAGGGAGAAUAGCGGUUAUUGUGUUCAAUGUACCCUCCCCAUUACAUUUACCAUUUUUCCAAAAUUUUCAAAAAUCCUUGGAACCAUGCCAUUGGCAGGUCACCACUCAAUUCACCAAAUUUGAGCCUGUGCCCAUUUAUUUGGAACUCUCAUUUAUUCUAUUUGCAUAAUUUCUUCUAUGUUUGAUAGCAAUACUUAAAGCAAAAAUUUCAAAAUACAAAAACUUGUUUUACAUCUUUUGAAAAGUGGGAACAAUAAACACACUCUCUUUGAACUCGUGAGUAGGUGAAGCGUACAUCAACAUUCGCCUCGAGAACGGUUACACUCCGAAAGAGAAUCAUGGCUAAGCAUUGUGGAGAGGACCCCUGUCUUGAGCAAGAUGCAGUCAUAAUCCAAAAUAAAAAAAAGAAGAUACAAAAAAUCAAAGCUCGCCAAGUUGAAAACCUGAAAAGGCGGCUUAGGCAAAAAAUGAGCGUCCCGGUGGACCGAAAACCCGAAAGGGCGGUUCAGGAAAAAUUAGGGGCAGAAAGAAAAAUAUAUUCCCGGUGGACUGAAAACCCGAAAGGGCGGUCCAGGCAAAAGUUAGGGAUUUUCAAAAAAGAUAAAACAAAAGAACAUGACUGCUGAAGCAUACCGAUGGAAGGACACUCUGCGUCGAUUCACAAAUACAACUUCUUCCAUAUCUUUUAUCAACAAUGGGCGUUACCCCCAGGAGGCAUCGGUGGCUACCUAGUGCCAGGUUCUUACACCAUCAACGGCUCGAUUUGCUCACAAUAAUAUCAUCUCCAAGGAAGGUUGCCGAGUGUUUGUAAUGCAAUGUUAGUCCACCUCCCAUCUUACCUGUCUUGUCUCGGUUCAUCGAGUCAUCUGGCAUAUACGGUCUAUACAGUCAUGUAGUCACACAUCCAUACAAUCAUACAAUCACGCAUUCAUCAAUCUUCUCACAUAUUCAUACGUUUAUACGUACAUAGCAUAUGCACAACAUCAAUUCACACAUAAUUGCAUCAAUCAUCCAGAAUUUCGUUUUGGUCGUGUCUCUUCAGUUCGGUCUUAACUUAUCGUUUUGUGAACCCGCAAGUUUCUAACAAAUGAACGUCUUGUUUUACUUUCUUUAUCAAAAGUGUCAUCCCCAGCGUAGCUGUUCCAGAGAUGUCACCAAUCAAACAUUUCAAGUGGCAAGUCCCAACCAACGGACAACUUGCAUCUCACUUUUACCUUAUUUCAAGUGGCAAGUCCCAACCAACGGACAACUUGCAUCUCCCUUUUACCUUAUUUCAAGUGACAAGUUCCAACCAACGAACAGCUUGCAUUUAUCUCUUUACCUUAUAACAAGACACCAAGUCCACCAGCGGAUGCUUGAGUUCACCCUUUUAUCUCAUUUCAAACUAUCAAAGUCCACCAACGGACCGCUUGAGGUUACCCUUUUAUCUUGUUUUUUUCCAUUUGUCUUCGUACGACUAUCUUACGGAUAGUAGACAACGUCUGGUUUCGUCUUACCUUUUUACGACUACCAUACGAGUAGUAGGUAAUCUAUGUCAUUUGUCUUCCUACGACUAUUUUACGGAUAGUAGACAAUGUCUUGUUUCGUCUUACCUUCAUACGACUACCAUACGGGUAGUAGGUAAUCUAUGUCAUUUGUCUUCAUACGACUAUGUUACGGAUAGUAGACAACGUCUGGUUUCGUCUUACCUUUUUACGACUACCAUACGAGUAGUAGGUAAUCUAUGUCAUUUGUCUUCAUACGACUAUGUUACGGAUAGUAGACAAUGUCUUGUUUCGUCUUACCUUCAUACGACUAUCUUACGGGUGGUAGGUAAUCUCAUUUAUUCGCCUUCAUACGACUAUGUUACGGAUAGUAGGCAAUGUUUUCUGUGUCUUACCUUCAUACGACUAUCUUACGGGUGGUAGGUAAUCUCAUUUAUUCGCCUUUAUACGGCUAUCUUACAGAUAGUGGACAAUGUUUUAUUUCAUCUUGCCUUCAUACAACUAUCAUACGGGUAGUAAGGUAAUACAACUCUUGUCUUCUUACAUCUACCAUACAGAUAGUAGACAACCUUUUUCCCCCCAGUAAAACUACAAUGUUCCCCUAGCAGAGUCGGAUCCCUUUCUCAAAGAAUUUGGAUAUCCGUUAUCAUUUCUCAUUCGAGUCAAAUUAUCUUGCAUUCAUCACAUCAACGCUUCCAUGCACUCAUACAACCACAAACUCAUAACAAUCAUGCAUUUACUGAUAAUCAUGCAUUCGUGCGUACACAACAUGUGCACGACAUCAAUUCAUACAUAAACUCAUCAAUCGAUUCGGUCAUAUCACUUCGGUUCAGUCUUAGUUUACCAUGGCAUCGAGCCGCAAGUUUCUACGAGUAAAGCGUCUUCCAUUUCAAAUUUCAAAGGUGUCAUGCCCGGUGAAAAACCGUGCUAGGUCAUGUCACUAAUCAACGUCAAUUUCAACUUUAGUUUCGAAGUGUCAUCCCCGGCGGAAAGCCGUACUAGUCAUGGCGCUAGUUAAUCUCAAUGUCAACUUCAACUUUAAGUAUCAUCCCCAGCAUAGCUGUUCCAGAGAUGUCACCAAUCCAACUUUUCGAGCAACUAGUUCCAACAAACGGACAAAUCAUGUCAAUCUUUUAUCUUUAUGCCCAGCGACCGAUUCCAACAAACGAAUAGCCUAUGUUUUUUCUUUCGAGCAACUAGUUUCAACAAACGAACAACUCGUGUCAAUCUUUUAUCUUUAUGACCAGCGACCAGUUCCAACUAACGAACAGCCUGCAACAAGUGGCCAAUUUCAACCAACAAAUAACUUGUAUCCUUCUAUUAUUUCAUUUUCAAAACCAAGUCCACAAAUGGACAUUGGAGUCCGAACCAUUGCACUUUGUUUCGAGAUAUCGAGACGAUGAGGAACAACCAUUUUCCCCAGUGAAACCAGAUUCCCCAGUAAAGUCGGAUCCCUUUCUUCGAAGAAUUUGGGUAUCCCAGUGUCUUUUCAUUCCAGUCAAGCCGUCUUUGUCAUCAUGCAUUCAUAAUUAAAUCAUAAGCAUUCAUAAACAUCUUAGGUCAAAAUUGGUGCACUUUUUGUAUUUAAGUCUCUUCGGCUCGUCGAGUCAAAGAUUUUACCUUCAAAUCUCUGAGCGAAGAAACUUAAAUAGGGGCAUCUGUCAUACCCCAAAUUUUGACCUAAGGUCCCACCGACACACGUCUCCGAACUCGGAUCAGACUCACAUUUCAGUGAAAAAUUCGGCAGGGAGGUAUUUUGAAAUACCUCAUAAAGUUCCGAAUCGGACCCUCUUCUCUCAGUCUUUAAUUAUUUAUUUCCAUCUUUUAUUUUUUUUAUUUGUUUAUUUUAUUUUAGAAUUCUAAUUUUAAUUUUAGUCCAAGAUUAGAUUAAAUUUUUCUUUUUUAUUUAUUUUAUUUAAAACCAAAAAAUAUAGAUAUAAUCCUUUUAUUAUUAAUUUUUCUUUUUUAUUAAAACCCAAAAUUGUCCAAAAUCCCAAAAAUGUCCAUGAGUCCCAAGAACAGUCCAGGUUCAUGCGUAACAAAUCACAAGCCAUCAUCCUCAUCCUCAUCCAGUCUGUUACGCGCCUAUCUCCGUCUCAAUCUCCUAAAAUCUGCAAUUUUUGUAACAAAUCCUUGUCCCCAAACAGCACUAUAAAUACAUAACCUGCAUAACAAAGAAAAAACACAACAGAACACAAGAAAAAACAGAGAACAAAAAAAAACAGAGAAAGGCAUCGCACGCAACAGAAGAAGAAAAACAGAGAAGCCACACACAACGGCAAGCAACAAACACAUCCCAUAGAAAAGCAGAACCGGCACGGCAACACACACGCACCAGUCCAAACCGCAACACCAACACACGCACACGCACCAGUCCACGCCACAACACACGCACGCGCUCAGAAACGGAAAUACGGUCGCGGGCAACACAACACAGCACAUACACGCACACACAGAGGCGCACAAACCGUCACAACAGCGACAAUCACAUCACAGAACCGGCCACAAGAAAGCCGAAUCCAUUUCUUAAACAAAAGGUAUAAAUUUCUUUCCUUUUUUUAGAUCUAGGCGUUUGGGUAAAGGUUUUGGGAAUUUAAAGGCUAGAAGUGAACAGAGGGAGAGAAGUAGAAGAGAAAGAGCGAAAAAAAAUAAAAAAAAAGGAGCUUUUUAGCUCCGGCGCGGCGGCGCAGCCGCGAUGGCUCGCCGGCCACCGCGCCGGAAUCCUCCCGGCCACCUCACCCCCCGCCGGAGAAGAAGAAGUAGGAAGAGAGAGAAGAGAGAGUUUAAGAGAUUUAGGGAAGAAGAGAGAGAAGGAGGGGAAGGAAAUGAAGGAAUUUAGGGUUUACAACCCUUAUAUACUCUUCAAACCGGGUCGCCCAUGACCCAUGACCCGCGACCCGGUUCGUUUACUUAAAGCCCAAUUCUUUUUUUUUGCUUUCUACACACCCCUGCUUACUACUGCACCCCACCUUGUGUUUGGACCCUUUUUUAUUUUUUUUUCCUUUUCGUAUUUAUUUAUUUUUUUAUUUUUUUUUAGCAUUUUUAUUUUUUGCAGACCUUAGAAUGUAAAUAGGCUUUUUUAUGUAAUAGUCAUAGAUUUUAUAUUUCUAAUUUAGGGUAGCCGCGCUUUUAUUCUUUAUGCUCUGUUAGUUUAUAUAUUUAUUCAAAAAUCACAAAAACAUGCAAAUAACCAAAAAAAUCACAAAAAUAUUUUCAUAAUAAACCUUGACCCUAAAUCAAGUGAUCGUCCUUUUUUUCUCAAUCAAAUAUCAAUCAAUUUAAUCAUGCUUCGAGUUAUCUUUUUUUUUAAUAAAAAACACAAGCAAAUUCUUAUUUGCCACUUGGCUUUUAUUUUUAAAACCUUUUUCAAAAAACUAAUAAAAAACACAAAACCAAUCAAACGUCGUUUUCUACCCCAAACUACGAGGUUUUGAUCCUUCACGGGUACGUAGGCAGAGGACACUCGUCCUUCCAAACAAUAAAAAAUGUAGAUAAAUUAGGUCUCACUUUAUUUUCUUCUUCAUCACAUUAAUUCCUUCUUUUCAAAAGCAAGCAAGUUAUAGCGCAUUAAAUUAAAUAAAACCAAGAGGUUCCCGUAGAGUACUGCGGACAUAGAGGGUGCUAAUACCUUCCCUUUAUGUAACUAACCCCCGAACCCUAAAUCUUUUCAAAUAGGGGUAGUUUGAACUUUUUUCCCCUUUUCUUAAUAAAAUUAAAUGUUCAGUCGUGAAAUAAUAAAGUGAGUCAAAAGCUAAUCAAAUAGCCUUGAUCUCCAAAAAAAUGACGCGACAGAAUGUUACAAAAAACAUAAGAAAUCAUGGCAUUGCAAAUAUAGCUUAUAUAUAACUAGUUAAAACUGAAAUAUAGAGUUUAUGGAGGAUAAGUGAACAACAAAUCCGAAGCAAAAAAACAAAAUAAGUGAACCAAAAAUACGAGCAUAAUUAUCACACAACAUAAGCUUUCAUUAAGGGAUAGAAACAUUACAUAAGUUACUGGUACUUCAUAAGAGUACUUCAUAGUUACUAGCACUUUUUAGAUUACUUCCUAAUUGAAAGGCAAAACAUAACAGUACUUCAUAGUUACAGGUACUUCCUAGAUUACUUCUUAAUUUAAAGACAACGGAACAUUACAACAUUAAAGACUAAACAUAACAGUACUUCAUAGUUACUAAUACUUCCUAGAUUACUUCUUAAUUCAUAGUACAUCCUAUCUUAGAUUACUUCUUAAUUCAUAGUACUUCCUAACUUACUUCCUAAUCACAGAGGUUCCAAAUUACACAGUACUUCCUAUAUUCAAAUAACCACUUAUCUAUGAGGUGAAAGUAACUAAAGUAUGCACCAAUCAAUGACAGCAAAACACUAGUAAAAACUGAACCAAAAUAUUGGAGAACAAAGUCAAAUAACCAAGCAUUAAUAUCAUAUAUGCAUAUAUCAAGCAAACCUGAUAUGGCUUGAUGAAGUUUCCUACAUUAGAUGGUUUAUUAUUAAUUGUAUAUCAUUCUUAAGGUUUACAAUCAGUUGUCAACACUUUAAAUUAUAUGUGCAGCGAAAUAUUUUGCUUCUUGUACACAUGCUUUUAUCACUGUUGUAUAUAUGUGCAGUUUAUUACCUUUGGAUUGGAAGUGCUUAUUACUUUUAUAACAGAAACAUCAUAACACAAAAAUGCACCAUAAACUAAACCAUAAUAAUAGCAAAACUAAAGAAAAACUUAAAAUUUAUUUUCAAACUCCAUCAAUAUCAUUAUCAUUUUAAAAGUAAAACAAAGAAAAAAAACAAAGAAGCAAUCAUAAUUAAGUUUAACGAAAACAAAGAAAACAAUAUUUAUUCAUUCAUUCAUUUUAUCAAACACAUCAAAUGCAUUGUUAUCAUAACUGAAUUAAUGGAUACGGGAGGAGAAUUUGAACUUACCUUGAGCUAUCCAACACUGCUGCUAUUUGGAACUUUGCUUAAUUUCCUUUUCUUGCGUGCUUGAGAGAAUGAAAAGGGCGAGAGAUGAGGCAACAUAUAUAAAGAAGUUUUGAGGUAGGUUAACCGAUUGAUUUUGAUCUGUAAAAUUAAAUAUGAUGAAAGGAAUUACAGUUUAAUGAAGUUAUGAUAUGGGUGAAAAAAAACACCUUUCUCUUCAAUGUUGUUUGACAGGAGAUUAGGAUUCAGAUAAGCAAGAAGUUAUGAUAUAGGAGAAAAAAACAGCUUUGUAAAAUUCAGAUAAACAACUUUUGAAAAUUCAGAUAAACAUGAGUUAUGAUGUAAGGUGAGAAGUUAGUUGAGAAUCAAGGGUAAAAAAGAGAAAUUGGGGGAAAACAAACCUACGGUUGUGAAAAUUGAUUUUUAGAAGCUAGGAAUUGCAGCUUCAUUGAAAAUCGAUUAUGAUGAUGCAAACUUGCGGCGACGGCGGAAGAGUGAAGGAGAGCCAAACAACGUCAAAGCGCUUUUGAGGAAGACAGACAUGCGUUUCCCCUUUCCCACUGGAUAACCAAACAUGUACUAAGGAAUUAGAAUCACAGUUGAUAUCCAUAACCCCUUCUUUGCAUUUCACUCAAUGUGAUUCAGGAGGGUGGUCUCUUGUUCAUUGGAGGAGUCAACAUGAAUGGGAAGCUCUUUAUCAAAAUGAGAACUCGGGGUCGAGUUCUUUAGAGCUGGAGGAGACUGAUGCAGUUGAGUUUUAUUAGUAAUUUAAUAGUAUUUAUUAUUUAGCCAAAUCUUAAUAAUUUUCUAGAACUUUCUAUUAUUAUUUCUUUUUAUUUUAUUUCAGCCCACGGAUUUGUUAUUUCUUUUACAUAACCAGAACUUAUGUAGCUAAGAGGCACACUUUUAUUCAUUAAUAAUAUUCGAGACUUUUCUCUCAAUUCUGGUGGAUUCCGGAAACCCUUUUUUUGAUAGGUUUGUCGCUUGCAACCUGUCAGUUUAUAUUUUAGGUUUAGCUUUUGGUAACUCUUACUUCCGCACUGAAUCACAAACAAUAUGGGUGCUACAUCAUUAACUAGGGGAGAGUUUAUGGUUCAUACAUCGUAAGAGAAGUACGUCUGAGCAUGCUUGUAUCUACUAAUUUGAGCUUAUAUACUAAUAUAAGCACAUGUGAAAAUGUUUAGAAGAGGAUGUAAAAAUAGCUGAUGACAUGUCAAUAAGUUGUUUUUCAGUUUAUUUUCAUCCACUCUCAAAUAUAACUUAUUAAAAUAGUUUAUAUUAAAACAAGUUUUAGACUAGAAAAAAACUUCAAGACGAGAUGUCAAAGUUACUUUGUUUAUGAGGUUCCAAAGAUCUCGUGCCAAGGGGUUGUUGGAUGAAGAUUGAAACACAAGUUACUUAUCAUUUAAAAACUAUAUACAAAGGGUCUUAUAAGUCUUAACUCAACCGACAAAAAUGUCGAAAUUGUUAGGUCGAACGUCAUGAUUAGAGUUCGAACCCCGAUACCUCUACUUUAUGUGUGUGAUCUUAUGAUGUUUUGCCAUCUCAUCUAUUUUAAAAAAAAAAAAAAAAAAAAAAAAAAAAAAACUAUACAAAGAAGAGACAUAAUUAAACUGUGCUAAAAGAUGCUAAAUGGGAGGACCAAUUUUUACUUAUGAAAACGUGUUUAUACAUAGAAUUAAGAUCAUGACAUUAGCAAAAAUGUCAAACAUUUUUGCUAAUGUCAAACAUUUUUGCUAGUUUCAUAAUAUUUUAUAAAUAAGAUUUUCAUUCUGAAUAAUUUAUUGCAUAAGUUAUAUAUUUUUUUAAAGUCAAAUUUAAUAUAUCUUAAACAAAAUUUUAUGGAACUUUUGGAAACAAGAAGAAAAAAAAAAAUCAACUCUAAAGCACAAGUUAGUAUAUUGAAUAAUUGUUAAAGUUUUUUUUAUUUAAUACAUUCGGUUCAAUGAAAUUAGCAUAUAAUAAGAAUAAUUUAACUUUUUAAUUAUGUGAAUAAAAAUAGAAAUUAAAGAAUUUCACUUUUAAAUAUGCAAAUAUAUAUUGUUUCAAAAAAAAAAGUAUGCAAAUAUAUUGUCCUCCGACGUUGGAGUAUGCAUGAGUCGGGUUCAAAUUCAAUGUUUUUCAUUUACUGAAAAAGAAAAAGCUCAAUUAACUUCCCUCAAAAAGAAAAAAAGAUUCAUUUAACUAUUAUAAAGAGAACAUGUUUUAUAUAAUAUAAUUUAUAAAGUCUCUCAAACCUACAAAUCCGGUAUACUAACAUUAAUUUAAAGGUUUAAUGAUGUGUUUCGUCCUUACAAUUAGACGUCAUUUAAAAAUUAGUCCAUGUAAUCGCUAAUCCUGACAAUAUACCCUUGCUUUGUUUAAUCAUUUAAAAUUUCGUCCUUUGACCAACUUAAUCACCACCAAGUCAUCAAAUUAGCAAAAUGGUAUAAGAAUAGACAAAAAUACCCUCGUCUUUAUUAUGAGAAGAAGAUGAAGACAGGGGUAAAAAUGUCAUUUCACGAAUGGAUGACGAGGGUAUUUUUGUCCAUUCCCAUGUCAUUUUGCUAAUUUGAUGACGUGUCGGUGAUUAAAUUGGUCAAAUGACGAAAUUUUAAAUGAUUAAACAAUGCAAGAGUAAAUUGCCAGGAUUAACAAUUACAGAGAGUAAUUUUUAAAUGACGCCUAAUUAAAAGGACGAAACACCUAAUUUAAAUAAUCAUCUGAUUGCAUGAUUGUAGACUUUUGACUGCAUGGAAUCGCGAUGCACCUAUAUGACAGUGUGGGCCCAAGCCCCCAGAAAGAAGAGAACUAUGUAUCUACAUAAUGAGGCUCUUGUAUAUGUUGUUGCUAGCUAGUGAAUAAUGAGAGACUCCAUUUCUUAAUCCAUCUAAUUUGUGUACUUGAAGUUGAAUUAAAACAUUAUUACAAUUUAGAAUUAGAGCCAUAAUUAAAUGUAAAUUGUAAAAUCACCUUGAUAUAUUUAGAAUUAGAAGCUAGCCAUAUUAAAUUUGAGUAAAAUGCAUGCAUGCAUACAUACAUACAUACAUACAUAGUGGAAAUGGAAUUGUACUACAAUGAACUUGUUUGUCGUUUUCUUCUCCACCUAUCCUCUCCUCUAUAUCCAUAUUUUUUGGAAUCUUAAUAUCCUCUAUACUCCCUUAAUCAUUUUUACCAUUUUAUCCAUCACACUUUCAUAUUGUUUCGAAUAACUAACUACUAAAAUCUUCACACAAAAUCAGGAUAACUUCGUCAUUUCAAAUAUUACACAGGCCUCAAUACAACCACCUACAUUCUCUUGGCUCAUAUGGAUAUUGUGAUCCAUGUUAUGGAGAAACAGGUACUGUGUCAUUCGAAUCAGAUAUUUACAGCUUUGGAGUUGUUCUUUUGGAGCUCAUCAGUGGUAGAAGAGCUAUUGAUGAUACAAGACUUGGCGAUGAUCAAAAUGUUGUUUUCUGGGUAAGUGAAAGUUGGUCUUUUUAUGUAGUAAAAAGCUGUCCUUGCCAAAUAGUAGUAGUGUUAGAAUUUGAGUUACCUAUAAUUAGUUCUAAAUUAUUGGUAAUGAGUUGUCCUAAAUUUUUUUAGACUGCUCAAAUAAGUGAACCAUAGUUCAAGUUGAUUAAAAGUUUUAAAAUAAGCAUGUGCAUUAUAGUUUAUAUAAAGUACAUACCAAAUCUCUAUUUUGAAGGUUUCAAAUUUAUGUCUACUAUCCUACUUUAGAAGGCAAUGCUUUAUAAACUGAUUUGAAAAUUAAUCUGUUUAGAAUUUUCUUUGAACCACUUUAAUAAUCGAACUGUUGAUGAUGUUUAAGACAUAAUUUUUACACAUACCAAAUAUCUAUUUUCAAGGCUGCAAAUUCAUGUACAUGCUUGCCUCAAUUGACAAAAUAUUUCUUUAUUGAUACAUGUAAAUAUUGUUUUGCAGGCAAGUUCUGUAUUCAAAGAUAUGAACAAAUUCAAAGAUAUUGUUGACCCAUUGCUAGAAGGUAAAUAUCAUGAGGGAGAUUUACCGAAAGUUGUAGGCAUUGCUGCAAGAUGUGUUCAAAAAAAAGUUCAUCGUAGGCCCAAUAUAAGUCAAAUUCGGAGUAGUUCGACCCUUUAAAAAAGUGAUGAGUGGUUUGAUCAAAGACUUAUUUACAGGAAAAUAUUAUUCGGAGUAGUUCGAUCCAUGACUCUUAAACAAGUUGUCAGAAUUUGAACAUGCUUACGAGGUUUAAUUAGAUGUUUGAUUUUUUAUAUAGUGUAUUUUUUUUUUUAUCUUUAAACAAUUUUUUACUUUGUCUAAGCUUCUCAAGUUUUGAAAAAACAAAAUUUCCAACCUAAUUUUUGUUAUACAAAAAAAAAAAAAAGCACUAAAUUUACCAACUAAAUAUUUUUGAACUAAAUAAGUAAUUUAUGUUUAAACUUUAUGUGUACAAAUUAAUUUUUGUAUUACAAAAAUUAUUUUCCAAAUAACUUUUACAUAAAAAAUUUCAAACGAAAAGUUACUUUUAGUCACAUUGAUUUUACAAAAUAAAUUAAUUCAACUAGAUUAUAUUUUUUGACAAAAUUCAAAUCAAUUUUCACAAUUCAAACAUUCUUGUGGAAGCGUGAAGACUAUAAAGCGCGUGAGUGUCACCAGCAUACACUUCACAUUCCCGCCAAAUUCUCGUAAAAUCUAAAACUUCGUUCGAUGAUUCGACAUUAUCUCGUAAAAAUCAGUUUUCUCCACCAUUGAAGAACUCGAAUUCUCAGUAAUUCGAUUGUUUCCAUCAUGAACCCUAAUUGGUUCACCUCCCCAGUUCUGAUUAUUUCUGUUGUUGUUGAUGAUGCUACAUGUUUCAUCGACUUUAACAUUAAGAUACCUUAGAAUAUAGUCCCUCCCGUCACUAUUAUAAACAAAAUUCCACUUUUUAGAUACAUUGAAUAAUUAAUGUAUCUAGUCUUUAUUAUAGACUGCAUACAUUAAUUAUUCAAUGUAUCUAAAAAGUGGAGUUUUGCUUAUAAUAGUGACCGGAGGGAGUACGUUAUUAAAACAAAAUUUUAGCAAUAUGCUUAAUCGUCUUACGCAAGUUACCUACCAUUCUGGAAGCAUGUCUCAAAAGGUCGGUCAAAGAUAAGGCUGGAAAUGAAUCGAGUCGAAUCGAACUAGUCUGAGCUCGGCUCAACUCGAUAAGAAUUGGUUCGGCUCGAAACUCGAUACGAGUUCGUAACAAAUUCGGCUCGUUUAAAGUUCACAAGCAACUCGGUUCAACUCGUUAGAUUCAUUAGCUCGAAUCACAUAAUUUUAAAAUUUAUUUUUUUAUUUAAAAAAUUGCAUAUUUUAGACCUAUUAACAUUAAAACAAAAAAUAAAAACUAAGGGGAAUAGGCUACAACCAUUCCACAACCGUGAAAUAAUAGAUCACCCACCUUCAUAUCAAAGAGUAGCAAAGCCGCUUCUUUUAUAGACAAGUAUUGUUGCAUCUACCUCAGAUACUUUCGAUGUGGGACAAAAACAAAGUAGUGCAGCUUUGCUAAAACACCAUGGCACUAUAAGCAGCAACAUAUUUCCAUUGCUAAAUACUAUCCAGGUCCACUUUGUUACCACUGUUGUUUUAUAUUGCUUCUAUAUAUAUAUAUAUAUAUAUAUAUAUAUAUAUAUAUAUAUAUAAUCGAGUCGGUUCAUGAUCAUGAACCAAACGAGUCGAACUAUAUAUAACUCAAGUUCAACUCAUUUAUUUAACGAACUUAAUUUUAGCUUAAGUUUGCCUCGUUUGGUUCAUGAACCAAGUUCAAUGAACUAAUUACCGAAUCGAGUUCCGAACUUUAUUCGAGUUGUCUCGAUUCAUUGCCAGCCCUAGUCAAGGAGUAAUCUUUCUUGUAACAAAACGGACAACGAUAUAUUAGAAUCAGAUCAGCGGCCACAUGUUAGGGGACAAUUUGUUAAACAAAUACUGUAUGUUGCUCCAUGCUUGUAUUUAUCAUUCGUUUUAUAUUUUUAUGUUUCCUUGUCUAAGUAUUAACUACUAGUUUCACUUUCUGUCCAUUUUUUCCCCUCAGGUCUGAUACCAAAGAAGAAGAAAAUAAAGAAAGUGAGGAACUUGUAUCUAUGAAUAAUUCUAGCGAUGUUCCACAACAAAUGGUGAUCAUUAUUCGACUGAUUUUGUUCCAGUAACUGCAUCUAGUUUUCUCUGCACGUUCACCUCGGAAGAAGCUUGGAGUUUUGUGUAAUAGAAGAAUCUGUGAGUAGGUAGGCAUCUUUUUUACGUGAAAAACAUGACAUUCAAUUUGAAACUUCAAGACAAUGCUCUAGAUUCAGGGUGUAGUUAAGAAAAUGACUUUUUUGGAAAAGUCAUUUUGUUUAGCCAAUGGAAUAAAUGUUGAUGCCAUGUCAGCUAGUGUCUUGUUGAUGGACCACUACAAAUCAUUCAUCGUACAAAAUAUUGAUUACUUUUGAUUUAUUAACUUAUUUUAUUUAAAAUAAAAUCAUUUUUGUUCUUCAUCUGUUCAUUUUGUUUGUCCUUAGUCCUUACUUCUUCAUCUGCAAAUUAUUCAUUUUGUUCUUCAUCUUCGUCCCAAAAUCGAAAACAUGUUCAUCACCAACAAAACUCGUUCCAAAAGCAUUCAAAAUCGAAACUCAAACAUUGAGAUGAUGUUCAGUUGAACCAGUUCCUUGGUCAGUCGUCCCUCGUUCCCGGUUUGAAAUUGAAAUCCAAUUCCACUUUGAACCAAUUCAUAUCAUUCACUCCUCCCUUUUUCCAAAUCGUUCCCAAAUCACAAAGAUUGAGGUGAGGUUCAGUUUGUUUGUCCCUUCGGUUAGUUAGUUUUUUGGGGGUUUUUCUGGUUUUGUUUGGAGUUUUUGGGGUUUCAUUGUGCAAUUCAGAUUCCAUAUCUUUAAUCGAGCUCUAUGUCAAAAUUUACUCUUACAAUUAGGUUUUUUAUGAUAAUUUAUUUCGCUUUAAACCCUAAUUUCAAAACUACUGGUUAGAUAACUUUUCUUUGGUAAAUUUAAUUUCAAGAAUUGUAUGUUAUAUAUCUAUUUUGCUGAGUUUGUUAAUGAUUCAGUUCAUUUCAGGGUAGAACCAUGUUUCAGUUUGUUACUCAUUCAUUCAUGUCCAUGAAUCGCCUUCCAGUUCUAUCAUCGCGUGUUGGUGCUGGCUGCUCACAACUGCUCUCAUAUAUAUGUGCAUGCUUUCAAGGUCAGGCUCUGGAGGAGCAACAAAGUUGCAUCACAGAACAAGGUCUUGUCACACCAAGGCCACGCUACAAAAUGUGUAGAUGAGAAUGAUUUGAAAUAUUGAGAGUCUAAUGAAUUAAGGAAGGAAAUGUUACCAAAUCAAAGGAAAUUAAGGUGGAAAUUAAUGCGGAUGAAAGUAGUAUUAAGAGAGAAAUAUCCUGGUCAAAUAUAUACAUAAAUCAGCAUGAAUUUGGACUACACGGAUCUAUGGAAUUUUCCUAAAGAGGUUGAUAACAGAUUAUAUGGGACACUCAUCAAUUAAUCAAAUAAAUUUGGUCAACUCUCCUAUAAUCAAAUAACCAACAUUAGGCGUGAGAAAAUGUUGGAAGGCAUAUAUAUUUAACUCUAAUUUUUUUUUCAAAAGUUUCAUAACAUAUCAUGACAUUCAAAGCUUAAAAGAAACUGAAUUUUAUUUAAAAAAAAUGGCAUUGCUUAGAUUUGAACUCGCAGCAUAAGGAUAGCAGCAACACAAUUCUUUUACCAUCUACACCAAUGUAGUAAUUCUAUUAAUAAUUCCAGGAAAAUGUAGAUAUGUUUUAGUUAUUGGUUUCGUUAAAAAAAUAUCAGCUGCAUCUCAUCUAGUAAAUCAGUCACUACUAUUUGUAUAUUUAAUUUGAUUUGAAUAAAUAAAAUUCACAACACACAACAAAUAGAAUCAAUUAAAAACAACUUAAUUCAAAUAUUUAAUUUAAAACUUUAGGGCAUUACAAAUCAAACUGGAAUAAGUUCUUCUUUUUUAUAAAACCCACAAAGGAAAAGUUUCGUCCUCGAAACUAGUCGACGUCAAAUAAGUUCGGAUAUAGCUCCAUUAUCUGCUCUUUUUGUUCCCAAGUGGUGUCACAUGUAGUUGCAUUCCAAAUAACCUUGACUAUGGGGGAAUCUCUUUGCCCCGCAAGUAUUUCACGCUUCGAUCCUCAAUACUCAUCGGAGGGACCUCAAAAGAAAGAUUUUCUUUAAGCUCCACUUUAUCAGGCAUGAUAAUAUGUGAAGGGUCAUCCAUAUACUUCCUCAGUUGGGACACAUGAAACACACUAUUAAGAUUGAAUAAAUUUUGAGGUAAUGUAAUUUUAUAAGCUACAGGACCAACUCGGCGAAGAAUCUGAUAAGGUCUAAUAAACUUAGGUUAAACCCAAGGCUCUCAUGUUAAACCCUAAACCCUAAAGUAGGUCGUUUUUUUUAUAAGGAAAAUACAUGUAUUUAGUUUAUUGGACCAACCUCUAAAUAAAUGCAAUGUUACAAUUUUAUUCUUUGUUUGUUAUCCUUAAAUAAUGCCCUACGGUGAAGGAUGAACAUUGUAAUACGAAACUUCAAGGCUCUCAGGUUAAACCCUAAACCCUAAAGUAGUUCAUUUUCUAUUUUUAUUUUAAGGAAAAUAUAUGUAUUCAGUUGAUUGGACCAAUUUCUAAAUAAAUGCAAUGUUUCAAUUUUAUUCUUUAUUUGGUAUCCUUAAAUAAAUACCCUACGGUUAAGGAUGAACAUUGUAAGACGAAACUUCAAGGCUUUUGUAUGAUUUUAAUAUGAAUUAUGUUGAUUGAUGUUGAUUUUUGGUGUGCUAUAUUUUAUUAUAUGAUUUAUUAUGAUAUUUAUUAAAAUAAUGUGAGAAUUAUUAUUAUUUUGAAAAUUGGGGAGUUAAUUAGAAUUUAAUUGAAUUUAGUGGGAAUAAGGUGUAAUUAAAGGGAGUUAAGAAAAUAGAAAGGAAGUUAAGUUAAGAGUUAGAAAGACACAAAACUGUCUGUACGUACAAUUGAAUCUUUGGGAGGAAAACAGAGAAAACCAAGCCAAGGGGAGAACAAGAGCAAGAGGGGAUCGAUUUUGCUGUAGAUUUGUUUGUGCAAUUGAAUUCAGAUAAGGGUGAGACUAUCUCUCAAUAAUAAUAGUAUAGAAUUUCUGAAAAUUGAUCUUUCAUAAUAAUUAUUCUUGAUUUUGAAGGAAAUUGGAAAAUAGGUUGAAUUCUUGAAUUUGAAUUGAAAAGGUAUAGAACCAUAUUAGUAUGCUUAAUUCAUGAUUAGAAUCGAUUUUAGUAUUUCAUAUCACUGCUAUUAAUCAAUUUGGGGAGAUUAGGAUCAUUAAUGGAAUUUGAGGGAUCAUGUAUGAUUAUUAGAAUAAGUGCUGAAUUGUUGUUGUUAUGAUAUGUUGUUAUUGAUGAUUGUUGUCAUAGGUAAUCUUAAUUAUAGAGUUUGUUAUAAAUAUAUGAUGUUCUUGGUGGUUUCAUGAAUUUAUGUUGUUAUUGAUGUUUUAUUGCAAGUUCUACAUAGUUUUGGAGUGUCUUUUAUGUAUAUAAACAUGUAAGCAAACUUUUGAAACGAAUUUGGGUGUUUAGAGAUCAAACUUUGGGUUUUUGGGUGAAAAAUGGAGCUUUCCCGAGAGCUACCUCUGACAGCAUUCUCUGUUUCAUGUUUUUGCGUCGUUUUCACAUGUUUCUGCUUUGAACUGGGUUUUGGUGUAAACAUGAAAGUUGUAGAUAAUUGUGUUAGCUUUCUAAUCCGUUGGUUUGACAUCAAAAUGAUUUAUAGGACUUGAGUUAUGGUCAAAUUACUGCACGUAGGUCACACUGAAUCUUUAUGAAUUUCAGCACAACUUUUCCCAAAUUUGAAAUGAAAACUGAUAUUGAUAGGUACAGAAUUGGUCUUUGGUGUAAACAUGAAAGUUGAUAAUUUUGUUAGCUUUCCAAAGGCUUUGGUUUGACGUGAAAAUGAUUUUUGGUUUUUGAGUUAUGAUGAAAAUACUCCAAGGAAGUCUUACUGAAAUCUUAUGAAAAUUCAGCCAUUUUCUGACUUUAGCUUUAUGCACUAGGGGACCAAUCUGAACAUCCUAAAAUGUUUCUUUCAAUUUGUAUAACCUUAGAAAAGUAGUAAAUCUUACUGGAACUUCUUGGUGGCCAUGAUUGAUUGAAUUUGAUGAAUUUGGAUAUGAAUAUAUGUAUGAUACCAUGUGAAAUGCAUUGUCUAUUGGUGAUUGGUGGUCGUUGGAGUCAUUGAGUCAUAAUGGCUAGGUUGAGUGGUAUGUAGAUAUACCCAAGUUGAGUCCAUGGCAUAACAUAAAAGCGGGAGGACUUAUGUCCUGGAACGCCUCGUCGUUCAAAGCGGGAGAACUUAUGUUCUGGAACGUCUUAUCGUUCAAAUUGGUGAGGACUUCGGUCCUGUGAAUGCUUUAACCAUUCAAAAUCCGGUGAGGACUUAUGUCCUGUAAAAUGGUACCACAUGCAUGUGUCUAGUUGCAUUUGUCGAGGAGUCUUAGUGGUGUUGUCAUGUCAUUGCAUGAGACAUUGUCAGUGAUUGAAUGAUACUUUCUAUGUAAUUGGUUGAAGUUGAUUAUGAUGAAUUUGAUGUGAACACGAAAUAUAUUUAAAUAUUGAAAUGUUGAUUAUAAUAGGGUGUUAGAUUCAAUUGAUGAAUUUUAUGUCUAUUAUUGUUGAUUGUGAAUCUCACCCCUUCUGUUUGAAUGUUGCAUCGACCGUGGGUAAUGUGUAGGUGAUUCCAAAUAGUAGGUGUGGUGGCUCAACUGUCUAGGGCUCUGAUACGUACGGGAUGGGAAUUAGUUAUAUUUAUUUUCAUUCCUUAUGUAUCAAUUUUGGAAUUAUGUUGUGGAGCUUUUUUAUUGUUAUUUGAACAAUGUUGUUGACUUUAUGUUGAGGCCUUUCGUACCAUAAAUUGUUGUUGGAUGUUUACGAUGUUAAUGAUUUGAAAACUAUUCCGCUGCUAUGUUUUGAUAUUUUAUCAAGUUGUUUUAAUUAAAUAUUAUUUUAUUCUAUUUAAGAAAUUUUGAAAAGUAGUGUGACAUGCCCGUUCGUGUUUAACUCUGAUUAUUUAUUAUUAUUAUUAAGUUUGGGAUAACAGGAUGUUACAGUCCAUACAUAAUUGCAUCAGCAGCCUCAUAAAUUAUUACCGUAAAAAAAGAAACCUUCACAAAUUAAUACAUGUGUAUUUUAUCACCAUAUUAACUGUUGAUAUUACAAUUAGUAGCUAUCCUCAUACUUUAGUUUCUAGAGGUUAAACACUUAACUAUAAAUACAUUGGUUAAAACAUUGGAGUUUUUAUGUUCAUAACCAUUGUUAUCACGAUUUUGGGGUAUCAAGUCAUUAAUUAGGCUUGAACCUUUCAAUCUUUGAUAUUCUCUAUUUUUUCUUGGGAAGGGUAAAAUUGAGAAAACCCUUAGAAAUUCUAAGUUCGGUGGUCGUUUUCACUACGGGAAGGUGUUAGGCACCCGCGAUGACUAUAGUACUCUAUAUGAGCCGUUUUCUUAGUUUUAUGUCUACGCUUUAUUUUUAAUGCUAUUUAUGGAAAAAGAAAUUUAUUUAUGUUAAGAAUGGGGGGAGAAAGUGUUUGAGGUUUUAUUUUAGUGGACUUGGAGAGGUUUUGUCCUCAUGCCUACAUACCCAUUUAAGGGAUCAAACUCCAUGCAGUUCUCUUUCAAAAAAAGUUUUUGGUGUGUUUCAAUUGAUUUUAAGUUUUGAAAAAAAUAGGUUUGAAGAAGAGAAAGAGGCCUUAAAGGCAUAAGAGAAGAAAAUGGUGAAUGGUUGGUUCAAUUGUUAUUAAAAAAGUCUAAGUAGGAAUUAGGAUUCAUUUGGAUUUGAUUAAGAAAAUAAAGGAAAAAAUUCAAUGGAGUUUUGACUCCAAGGUUUGUUUGGAAAAAUUUGAGUGAUGGAAUUUGUUUAUUUUUUUUGGAAAAUUGGCAUUUGUCUAAAGAUCGCGUUUCCUAAGCAUACAUCUAAACGGUAAACAUGCAACGUGUGUGCGUGUCGGUGCUUGUGUCGGUGUACAUCAUUAGAGUCCAUCGUCCUUUACACUUUGCUCUAGUUUACAUGCUAUGGUCUUGCGAGUAAUUAAAAGAAAGCUAAUCUACCUAAAAUCAUUACAAACCCAUUUGAUAUAGAAAUGAAUAGAAAAAUAAUGCCUAAACUAUGAGAUGGAUGAAAUAUGAAAUGAAAUGAUUAGUAUCAUAAGGCAUAAAAUGGCAAGAAAAAAGAAAGCAAUAUUGAAAUAGGAUAGCAAAAAGAAAAGAACAAUGAAAUGAACUAAAAAUGACAAAAUAUACUUAGAAUUUGGUAUAACACUUGGACAUGCACAUGACCUAUAAUUCCCUCAUCAUAGCCAUUUUUAAAAGAGGUUUGAUUUUAAGCUACAAUGUGAGGAUCACAAGAACACACACAAGCAAAGCAUUAUAACACAUUCAUAGAGAUAUUUUACACUUUAUUUCUUGAUAAAAACACACAUUAUUUAUC
rnacentral:lncRNA from 1 species